rnacentral:lncRNA from 1 species
AUAGCUCAUAAAUUCUCUACAAUAUUCAAUCACUACCCCAUCAUUAGAAAAACAAUUAAUUCGUAAAAAGAACACUGAUAGUAAAUUCCCAAGAGCCACCAACAUCACCUGAAACACAUAUUACAUUUAGAUGAGUGCCAGAAGAAUAUAUAUUAGCGUAUUGGCCACUUACAAUUAAUCCAAUUCAUGAUGAAGUAUUUUUCCAAGAUUACAAAUUAAUUAAUGCACAACAUCUAACAACAUAAAACCUCUGUUACAUAAUUAAAUAAAAUUCAUCAAAAUUCUAUCCUCUAUCCUCUUCUCUUGAUUCCCCUGUUCUCCUAAAGUUUCACCAUCCUUUUCUUUAUUUCUACUCUUUUUUUUUAAUCUUCUCUUUAUUCUUCUUCCACUGUAUUUGUUCAAAUUUGUUUAUCAAUCUAAGUUCUAAAACACAUAUAUUACACUGAGACUCCAAGCAACGCAAAUCCAUUUAACUUGUUCAUUAGGGCAAGACAAUCUUGGCUAAGAAGCAGCAUGUGGAAGUAUUUCAAAAUGACUAGAGAAAGACUUGCUCUAGAACUAUGAAAAUUAGCAUAUAAAAAGAAAUAGAAAAACACUAAAUAAACAAACCACCCAAAGAUUUCAUCACAUAAAGCAAGGGCAAAUUAUGUGCGAUUUCAUCACAUGAAGCAAGGGCAAAAUUAUUAUCACAUCCCACUUCACACAACUCAUUACAUACCUUACCUCAAGGCAUUACCUCAAGAACAAAUACUCUGAAAAAUCACGGAUAUCAUUUGGCCUGGAAUGAUCAGCAGAAAACAAAAACGUUAACAAAGUGCUGCAGCAAUGAUAUCAGCACAAUUUCAAACUUAGAUAGAAUCUCACUUGGGGAGUCCAAUAUUCUCAUCAAACCUUUGACUUUUAUAAAAUUUCACCAGAUGGAGCAAACCAACUCAAUCAAUUUCCAGUACAAUAGUGCGUAUAUAUCAUAUAUCAAUAUUGAGAACUGGUAGGUGCAACAUGGUCCAUAAACCAAAACAUUUCCAACUAAUAAAGCACAAUACGUGACAAAUCAAAUAAAAAAAAUAUCUUCCAAAAAGUUCAACAUGUCAAUUAAGAGAAAAAUUAUAGGAUUCAUAUCAGUGCAUCCAUAAAUGGCCUAGUUUCUCUGUCAAGAAGUUAGUCAUAAGCACAAGUCAAAAUAAAUCAUUUCACUGAAAUGCUAGAAGACCAAGCAAAUAAGCACAAUCACCACCACACAAAGCAUUUGCAUUUCCAAAAAUGUAGUUCACAAAGAUUUUACAGAAGAUAUCUUUCUAAUAGAAAAACACAAGCACCAAUCAAUUGUAAUGGGUUUGAGAAAUACCAAAGUAGUUUUCACAGUUGAAGAAUAGUCUCUCACAAAAAUUCACUUUAUACAAAUACCUCUGGUGAAUAGAUUUUGCAUACAUUUUGGUGGACCUACCAUGUGCUCAAUAUAUUUAAUAAAUAAAGGUGAGAAUAAUAACAAUACCUUAGAUGUUGUAUUAGCUAAGGCAAACUUUGCUUCAAUCCGAACUCUCCAAAAGGCCUAGAAACAACAGAAAAAUUCCUUAAUUGUAUUUCAUUAAGAGUAAGUCAAAUCAAAAUCACAUAUACCUCUAAAUUUGGUUAACUUAUCACUAAGGAAAUUAUUAGUGUGCCAACAAAAUUGAAAGAAAGACGGGGCAGAGUGUCUAGACUGCAGUAAUUGGUCGUGCCUGAGCAACAACAUCUCCAUUCUUCUCUUACUGAUUUAUCUGAUAAAUCAUAACAGUCAUGUAAGAUUGUUAUCCAAUUAAUUAAGUAAACAAUGUUAAAAGUUUGUAUCGCCACCAUCUACUCAAUAAAGAACAAUGAAGAAGUAAAAACAGAGAAGCCAUCACUCCACACUCAAAAAAUUUCUCUCACUUUCUCGCUAGCCAAACACUCAUUUUCCUCUCUCAAAACCUCGUCUUACCACUCAAAACCUUGUCUUACCACUCAAAACCCACUAAAUUUCAGCUCAAAUUCUGCCAAAAUUUUAGUCUAAUUCGAAGAUACAGUGGCUAACUCGCUGUCUUUCUCACGCCGCCAACUCCUCGUAGAACAAUCUUCUCCGAUCCGACUCCAUGUAAAUAGCACGCUACCACUCGCGUGUCACGGAAUUGUUCCACGAAGGCCAUAAAGCGGAGUCAUUGGCACGUUAGUCCACGAACUUGAAGUCAGUCCUAUAAGGCCAUGGAGCGGCUUUAUUUUUUUUUUCCUUUUUUUGGCAUAAUUUUAGGAAUUUUGAUAAAUUUAUGGUGAUUGUUGUCUCUUCAAAAAAAAAAAAAGAACUAAUCACUUACCUCUCCCGAAAGAAGUCAGUAACAGUGGCUCGAACUUGAAGAAGAUCAGUUGUUCAAGCUAUAAAAGGGAAAUGGGAAUAGCCAGCAAGCUGUGGAGUGGGGAUGAAGAUGACGACAAAGACGAACAACAGCAAUUUGUUGUCGGCAAGUGUGAUGGUGUAUUUUUGUGUGAUUCGGUUUGGAUGUAGAAAUUAGGGUUUUCUAUGUGAAGUUCAAAGGAGUGUCCAACACUUAGAAUUUUUUUUAAAGGCUUCAAGACACGGUGUCGUUUAAUGCCCAGAUUGGCCAAUCGUAAACUCACCGUUUCAUUACUAUAUAAUAUGCUAUCAUGUGUAAGUGACAGAUAAAGAAACUAUCACAAAUCUAUCAUGCCUUAUUGAUAUAUGAAAAUUCUAUCACAUAUGUGUCAUAUUUUUGUGAUAAAUGACUAAUUUUCUAAUAUCUAUCACAAAAAUUCUGUCAUAGUAGCCUGUUUUUCUAGUAGUGUCAUAUGAUCAUAGUUGUGAACUUCCAAAAGCAGGCCGCACAAAUUUUCUAAGAAGGCAUAUAACUUAUCAAAUUUCAGCUUUGACAAACACUGAUAGUUCAAAUGGUAAGAGUUCAAAUCAGUAUCAAGGCCAAAGCAUGGCAACAAUAUUGGAUGCUUGAUGACAUGAAAGCCUCUUUAAGGGAAAUCGUGUGGGUUGAAUCAAGCUAAGGUAAUCCAUUGAUUCUCAUUUGUUUAAAGAUCAAAAUUAAAUGUUUUUUACAAGGAAGAUCAAUUAACCACUGUAUCAUCUGUGGAUGACAAAAUGAGCCAUGCAUUUGCUUUUAGCAUGCCACAAAUAUUUAUGCUACAGUUUCACUUCAAGUUUUUUUCUUUAGUUUUAGAUAGAUAGGUCCCAUUUAGGAAUCCUUGACUUCAGCUUCAUUAAGCUAAAGGAUAUAAAAGCACAAAUUUCAAUAAACUAUAAUAUAAAAUAUGUUUUCUUAUCUUUUAAUUUGGAAAAUUAUUCUAUAUAAAAUAUGUCGAAAACUAUUCAUCAUUUAGUGCAUUAAAAAUAGAAGAAAAGUGAAAUAACUCUUACCAUUCGAAGUCUUCCUUUAACACCAAUUCUUUGGACAGGUUUUUCAACACAAUUUGCCUUCUUUUCUAGGCAAUUUCUGCUAGCCAGAGACCUUUGGAAAUGAAAAUGGAUAUUUUUAAUUUGAAACCAUGGUUUAGAUUUCCAACCAUAGACUCAAGUCAAUGUUUUCAAAAUUGGCAAUUUAUUGUGUUUGAUUUCAUGAGUCAACAGAAAGCAAUAAAUGUGAUCUUAAGGAACUUGCAGGCAGCAGAAUGAUUCCAGUAACUCCUCUUAUCCUUUUAUCUUGUUACCUUUUUUUUCUUUUUUAAGAUUCAUUGGUAUUAUACCACUUUCCCUGUAAAUCCUAGUUAGUUUUAUCAUUGCAAUAUCUUUCUCAACUCAUAAUGUAUUGUGAAUGUUAAUGAAGACGUUAUUUGGAACUUUAGAAAGGCGUAUAAAACGUUUUGCAAAAUGUAUUGAUUUGUUUGUUGAUGGAGAAAUGGAGGUGGUUUUAUUUUAUCCAAUAAUUUAUGUUUGUUUUUAUUUACUUGCAAAGUUGUUUUAUUUAUCAUUGUAGUUUGUAGUUGAAUAAUUAAAAUUUGCUGUUUUACUUUCUGAAUAUUUUUUAUCAUUUGGUGUUUUACCCUUUUUUUCAAAUAAUGGUGACUAUGUCCCGAAUUAGUAAUCCAAACCAUUUUUUAACCCGAAUUAACAACCCUAACUUGAACCAAAUUAUGAACUUGAACCAAAUCGAAUUAGAAAUUGAACCGAACCAAUCCAAAAUAAUUUUUCAAUCUGUUUGGGUUGAAUUCUUGAACACAAACGGGUUGCAAACCGAACCAAAAACCGAAAUGCCUACCCUUAUUUUGGUUUAUAGGCACUUUAUGUGCACGAUGGGGAGUUUAUGACGAAACGACAUGUCAUUUUUUUUAGUCUUAUUUUUUAAAAAAUUAACCAAUUUGGAAGGUGAGAAGACUAAAAUAACUAUCCUAGAACCCUUCUAAUGAGGUCGUUGAUGUUUUGAGAUAGAUUAGGCCGUUGAUGUUUUGAGAUGGACUCAUAUCUAAAGGAGUUUCAUAUGUCACACAAAGUGAAAUAUCUGUCAUUUUGGUGGUAUUUUGUCUAAAAUACCCUCUCAUUUUCAUUAAGAGCGAUCUCUUUCUACAAAAGUUUAGAUAUCUCUUUACUAAAUUUCAAACAAAAUUCAAAUAUUGCUUCAAUAAAUAUAUUCCAAAUAUUUUAAAAAUCACAUUCACUUAUAAGACACUGCAUUUGUUCAACAUUUAGCAUAAAAUUAGCUUUUGAGUUUACAUUUUUAUUUUGUUUACUUACAACAAUGCAAAUAAAAGUGUUGAAUUUAUAAGUGUUGGGUGUUUUUGAUUCGGUACUUAUUUUGUUAUAGAAUAUGAUAAAGUUUAUCUAAAUGCAUAGGCAAUAUAUUAUCUUUUGAGGCAUUUAUUGUGUUGAUCAUUAAUAAAUGAGUUUAGUAUUAGAAUGUUUAUUUUAGAUCAUAAUCUAGACUUCUUAACUUUUAAACCUCUAAACAAAUCUCGAGUCAAGAAAUUUGAAAUUUUACUAAAUAUAAAACUAAAAGUCUUAAAUUUAAAAAAGUAUGAAAUUUUACAUCUAACGUCUUUGAUCAUUAAUUGAUUGCAAUAAAAAAUUUAAAAAAUAUAUAAUUAUAUGAAAAUGCUAUACUUCUAGACUAAGGUAUCGUUUGUUUUUUGUCUGAAAUCUGAAUGGGUUUGAAUUUGGUUGAAAUCUGAAUAAGUCUGAAUUCCAUAUGUCUAAAUGACAUGUUUAUUUUUUUCUUUUUCAAUAUAUGAAUAUAAGUGACAUCUUAUUUGUUUUAAUAAAUUACAAACAUCUAAAAUAUGAUUAUUUGACAUUUAUGUCCUUUUAAGAAUUGUUUAUACUUGUUAUAAAUUUUAAGAAUUAGAUACGUGCACAUUACAAUUAAAAUCAAACAUAUAUAAAAUUAGGUAGUAAUUGAUCUUUAAAUAAAAAUAUUAUUACAUUACUCCAAAUGCAAAAUUUAAUCAAACUUAUUAUACUAAUUAAAAUUUUAAAAGAUAAGAAAGUCAAUUACAUCCUUGAGAAAAGUUGAUUUACGAGUUGAUCUCGUAGUUGUUGCAUGAAGACUUGAUCUAAUGGUCCAAAGAAGCUACUUGCAUUUGUUGGUUGAUUUAAAUAUGCACUGUUAUUUUCCAACCAACUUCUUCAUUGUCAUUCUCUAAAAAUAAUGCAUCAGUAACAGAUAAUCUUCGAAGAAAAUUGUGUAUCGCAAUGCAUGCGAUAACAAUCUUUGUCUGAGUAUAAAAUGGAUAUGGCAGCAUUCGCUUUAAAAUUGGAAAACAAGCUUUUAGAACACCAAAAGUGCGCUCAAUAACAUUCCUUAAUUUCGCAUGACUAUGGUUGAAAAUCUCCUAUUUCCCUCUAGCCCGACCACCAUCAUGAAAAUCAUUCAACCAAUAACGUAUGUGAUGAUAUGGCGCCAUAAAUCCUCCAGUAUGUGUAUAUGCCGCAUCAACUAAAUAGUAUUUUUCUGGAUUCAAUAAUUACCAAGAGUUAAUUAUUAGAAAAAAAAUUGUCUGACAAUUAUAUUAAAGGAAAAGAUUCCUUGGUGGUGGCAUUGGAAAAUUAUGUUAUGAAUCACGAAUUGUUUCUGUCAAGACUCUUGAAUCAUGUGUUGUUCCUUCCAUCCAACAACGACAUACUUAAAUACCAUGUCUAAGUCACAAAUUGCCAUGACAUUUUGAAAACAUUCCCCUCUUCCGCGACUCUAUAUGGCACUUGUUUAUCUAUUGGAAUACAUGCAUGAAUUAAAGUUCCAUCUAUUGCACUAACAACACCUUACAAAAGCAAAUAUUAUUACUAUGAGAGAUGUAUUAAUUACGUUAUUAUUUAUCAUUGAUAAAAGAUAAUUUACGUUGAAUAUUUCACAUAGCAUGUGAUUAGCUAUGCUACUUAAAUCAUCAUUAAAUGAAGGAGGAGUAAUCAUUUCUUUUGAGAACUUCAUCAUGGGUACUAAAACUGUGAGGAAAUAAGCGGCUGGUCAACAAAUGGUUGUUGGGUUUAAAUGAAAGUUUUGAAGAAGUCUGGGGGCAUUGUGCAGAUCGACUUCAGCUAGAGGGGUCUAGUUGAAAUAUUCGAGCUGAUGUGGCAGAAUUGGUUAUGAGUUCGUUAUGAUUUCCCAGAAACACCAGAAUAUAAAUACGUGUGUUUUAGCCUCUGAUAAAGGAGAGUAAUCUUUUUCAUUUCUUGAUCAUCCAGUUAGCUAUUUGGUUCUUUGUGAUCCUUAUAACUUCUUCUAUAGAAUCAGCUUGUAAAUUCGAUUAUGGAGAUCAAUAAAAGAGCAGUUUUUCCUUCUACAAGUUGAGUACUUGAAACUGUGCUCUGUUCAAGUCCUUUUAUAUUUUCUUUCUUGAUUAGCUUGCUUUAAUUAGUUCUUUCUAGAUUCAAUACGUUAAUAGGGUUACAACAACUGGUAUCAGAGCCAGUGGUGGUUCAAAAACAUGUCUCUUCCAAAACCCGAUAUUGAAAGGUUCACCAUUGGUGGUGACUUUUCACUUUGGAGGAUGAAAAUGAGAGCUCUCCUUGUUCAUCAAGGUCUCGAAUCAGCACUGGAAGAAGAUGAUCUUGGGGAUGCUUCAAGUUCAGUCCCUGAUGAGAAGAAGAGACAGAUACAGAACAAGGCUCACAGUACCUUGAUCUUGAGUCUCAGUGACUCAAUUCUAAGGGAGAUUUCUGAAGAGAAGACUGCCCUUGGUAUCUGGAACAAGGUGGAGGCUUUGUGUAUGAAAAAGUCCCUGGCACAUCGAUUGUUCUUGAAGAAAAGGCUAUAUACCUUUUCUAUGAGAGAAGGGGUCUCGAUUCAAGAACACAUUGACAACUUCAACAAGAUCAUUCUUGAUCUUGAAGGAGUUGAAAAUGUGAAAAUAACUGAUGAGGAUAAAGCCUUCUUUCUACUGAGCUCACUGCCAAAAAUCUAUGAAGGAUUUGUAGACACCAUGCUGUAUGGCAGAACUACACUCACUCUAGAGGAUGUAAAAGCCUCUUUGAGUUCUAAGGAGAUCCAGAAGAAUAAUGGGCAUGAAGUUAGUAAUGGUGAAGGCUUAUUUGCCAGAACAGAAAAGAAAAAUCAGAAGAAGAAGAAGAACAAUAGUCAAGCUAAAAAGGAUGAUGUAUCUGUAAAAGAAAAGAUGAAGAAAAGAAAGUGCUUCUACUGCAAGAAACAAGGUCACUACAUUAGAGACUGUGCUGAGAAAAAAAGGGAUGAAAAAGAGAGAACAGGUGAUGCAGCAGUAGCCUCAGAUGACUCCUCUGAUGAUGGAUACCAUAGUGCUGAUUUACUGGUGGCUUCAAAUAGCAAUAUCAAAGGUCAGUGGGUUCUUGAUUCAGGCUGUUCAUUUCAUUUGUGUCCUGAUAAAAGCCUUUUCCAUACAUAUAAACCUGUGGAUGGUGGUAGAGUGUUGAUGGGUAACAACAAUGUGUGUAAGAUUGUUGGCAUGGGGUCUGUCAAAGUAGAGAUGUUUGAUGGGUCUGUUCAAACUCUAAGUGAUGUAAGGCAUGCACCUAGGCUAAAGAGAAACUUGAUCUCUUUAGGCAUGCUAGAUGGUAUGGGAUAUAGCUUUGAAUCUGAAAAUGGUGGUUUAAAGAUUAUGAAUGGGACUGAGAUGAUAAUGAGAGGAGUUAAGAAGAAUGGCUUGUAUGUGUUAGAAGGAUCAUCAGUGCCUGGAGCAGCUGCAAUGCCUGCUGUUUCUGAUGUUAAUAGAGCCAUGAUAUGGCACCUUAGACUAGGCCAUAUGAGUAUUAGGGGAAUGCAAGAGCUGAGUAAGCAAGGGCUGCUCUGUGGUGAUAAUAUAGAUGAGCUAGACUUCUGUGAAAAUUGCAUCUUUGGCAAGGCACACAGGUCCAAAUUCACAAAGGGCAUACAUGUAUCUAAACAACCAUUAGAUUAUGUACAUGCUGAUUUAUGGGGGCCUGCACAAGUACCAUCCUUGAGUGGGGGAAGGUAUUUUAUGUCAGUCAUAGAUGACUACUCCAGAAAAGUAUGGAUCCACAUACUGAAGACCAAAGACCAAGCCCUAGAGAAGUUCAAGAUUUGGAAGACUUUGGUGGAGACUCAAUCUGGUUUCAAGGUGAAAUGCCUAAGAACAGACAAUGGACUUGAAUUCUGUAAUAAAGAGUUUGAGCAAUGCUGCCAGAAAUGGGGAAUGAAGAGGCACAAAACAGUAAGAUUCACUCCUCAGCAAAAUGGUUUAGCUGAGAUGAUGAACAGAACACUUGUUGACAAGACAAGAUGUUUGUUGAUAAACUCUAAGCUUCCUAGGAGUCUUUGGGCAGAGGCUGUUUCUACAGCCAGUUACCUGGUAAACAAAAGUCCAUCUUCAGCAAUUGGCUUCAAAACACCUGAAGAGCUCUGGUCUGGAAGACCUGGAAAAUAUGAACACCUGAGGGUAUUUGGAUGCCCUGCUUAUGUCCAUGUCAGACAAGGGAAGCUUGAUGCAAGAGCUAUAAAAAGGGUAUUUAUUGGUUAUCCAGAUGGGGUCAAAGGCUACAGGGUCUGGUGUAGAGAGGCCAAUAAGUGUCUGAUCAUUAGAGAUGUCCAGUUUAAUGAAGUGGUUAUGAUCAAUAACUCUGACCAAGCCACCUCUGCUAAUGACAUCAGUACAAAUGACACACAAGCCACCACAGAAACUGAUCAAGGUGAAAAGAUUGAGGUGGAGUUGUCUAAAGAUUAUGAAGAUGAAAUACAACCAGAGGCUGUUGAAGCUGAGUCUCAAGAUGCAGAAGUGACAGAAGGUGAAGCUCCACAAGCAACUGAUUUACAACAAUAUCAAUUAGCUAGAGAUAGAGAAAGAAGACAUACCAGACCUCCAGCAAGAUAUGCAUAUGCAGAUAUGGUUGCAUAUGCCUUGAUGAGUGCAGAAGAUGUUGCAAUUGAAGAGCCUAACAGCUACAGAGAAGCAAUGAAUAGCAAGAAUAGCAGAAACUGGAUUAAAGCUAUGAGGGAGGAAAUGGAUUCUCUGGUAAGGAAUCAGACUUGGAUUUUGGUCCCGAAUCCAGAGAAUAGGAAGAUUGUCAGCUGCAAGUGGAUAUUCAAGAAAAAGGAGGGCAUUCCAGGUGUUGAAGACUCAAGAUAUAAGGCAAGACUGGUGGCAAGAGGGUUCACACAGAAGGAGGGGAUUGAUUUCAAUGAAAUCUUCUCACCAGUAGUAAAACACAGCUCAAUCAGAACCCUGCUUGCUAUGGUGGCUUUGUUUGAUCUAGAGCUUGAACAAAUGGAUGUAAAGACUGCCUUCUUACAUGGCAAUCUUGAAGAAAAGAUAUUGAUGUCUCAACCUGAAGGUUUUGAAGAACAGGGACAUGAGGAUUACGUGUGUCUCCUUAAAAGGUCCCUAUAUGGCUUGAAACAAUCUCCUAGGCAAUGGUAUAGGAGAUUUGACCAGUUUAUGAUCUCCAAUGACUAUCACAGGAGCAAAUAUGAUAGUUGUGUGUAUCAUGGGAUUAUGAACUCAGGUGGAAACUCAGGUGGAGCAGUAUAUCUCCUACUAUAUGUUGAUGAUAUACUCAUUGCUGGUAAAAAUCUCAGUGACAUCAAAAAGCUCAAGAAUUUGCUGAAAGGAGAAUUUGAAAUGAAAGAUCUUGGCAGUGCCAAGAGGAUCCUUGGGAUAGAUAUUGUUAGAGAUAGAACAGCUGGUACCUUGUUUCUAAACCAGUCAAGGUACAUCAGCAAAGUGCUGGAAAGGUUUCAGAUGAUGGACUCAAAACCAGUACUGACACCCCUUGGAGCUCAAUUCAAACUCUCUGAAGAUAUGUCUCCAACUUCAGAUGUUGAGGAGGUAAAGAUGGCUGAUAUACCAUACUCACAAGCUGUAGGAAGCUUGAUGUAUGCAAUGGUUUGCACCAGAGCAGACAUAGCUUAUGCAGUGAGUGUGGUGAGCAGGUUUAUGAGUAACCCUGGUAAGCUUCACUGGGAUGCUGUGAAAUGGGUCAUGAGGUACCUGAAAGGAACCUUAGAUCAUGGUCUGAUGUAUGGUAAAUCUAAGCAUGAGGUCUGUGAAGUCAGAGGAUAUGUUGACUCUGAUUUUGCAAGUGACUUGGACAGAAGAAAAUCUAUCUCAGGUUAUCUGUUUAUGUUGGAUAGUUGUCUCAUAAGUUGGAAAGCUACUCUACAACACAUAGUAGCUUUGUCAUCUACUGAGGCAGAAUUUGUUGCUGCAACAGAGGCAGUGAAAGAAUCAAUGUGGUUAAGAGGGCUGCUAAAUGAACUCUGGUUGAAACAAAAAACAGUGAAAAUUUUUUGUGAUAAUCAGAGUGCCAUUCAGCUCAUCAAGAACCAAGUUUAUCAUGAGAGAACAAAGCACAUUGAUGUGAAGUUGCACUUUAUUAGAGAUGAGGUCGCAAAAGGGUCAGUUGCAGUGAUCAAGAUACAUACAGACAUCAACCCUGCUGAUAUGCUAACCAAAGUGCUACCAACAGCAAAAUUUAAGUUUUGUGUAGACUUAAUUGGUGUUGGCAGCAGCUCUAGUCCCUGAAACAUAUGUUUUUGAAGGUUUUUUAUGCUACUUAAUUGAGAUGAUCAGCUGAAUCGAGUCUGCAAGGUGGAGAGUGUGAGGAAAUAAGCGGCUGGUCAACAAAUGGUUGUUGGGUUUAAAUGAAAGUUUUGAAGAAGUCUGGGGGCAUUGUGCAGAUCGACUUCAGCUAGAGGGGUCUAGUUGAAAUAUUCGAGCUGAUGUGGCAGAAUUGGUUAUGAGUUCGUUAUGAUUUCCCAGAAACACCAGAAUAUAAAUACGUGUGUUUUAGCCUCUGAUAAAGGAGAGUAAUCUUUUUCAUUUCUUGAUCAUCCAGUUAGCUAUUUGGUUCUUUGUGAUCCUUAUAACUUCUUCUAUAGAAUCAGCUUGUAAAUUCGAUUAUGGAGAUCAAUAAAAGAGCAGUUUUUCCUUCUACAAGUUGAGUACUUGAAACUGUGCUCUGUUCAAGUCCUUUUAUAUUUUCUUUCUUGAUUAGCUUGCUUUAAUUAGUUCUUUCUAGAUUCAAUACGUUAAUAGGGUUACAACAAAAACCUUAUGCAAGCAUUUGUGUACUGCUUAAGUCGAUUACUAAGAUUGUGACUAAUUGUCAUCAAGAACAUUGCCAUUUUUCACUCAACAGACACAUGUUUACUAGGGUAUAACCAUAUUUUUACCUUGAAGAAUUGACAUAAAUAAAUGAACCCAUUCUUCUCCAUUCGCAUUAAUUCAUAACAUGUAGAAGAUUGUCCACUUAAAAGAUUUUUGGUAAAAUCCAAACUUGUAAGUUUUGAUUCUGGCGGUCUUUUAAUGUUCAGUGGCUUUAAUAAAUUAGGUAUCAACAUAAUCAAUUGUUUUCGUAGCAAUCUCUUAACCUUAUAUUUCUUAUCAUCAUCUCCUUCACUUAAAGCUUUCAUAGAAAUAUCUAAAAAAAAGGAAAAAAGACCACAAUAGUAACAAUAUCUAAAUUUUUUGUACUGUAAUAUCAUCUAACAAUUAAAGAAAAUAUGACAAUUUAUAAAGAAAUAAUAAUAAGCUUGUGAAGAAGUAAAAUGAAUAAAUAAAAAUAACAUAACAUAAAUAAAAAUAACAUAACCAUUAAAUCACCAUAUAAUAUUUUUCAAUGAAAAGACAUUAUCAAAAUUUAGCAAGCGCAAUAAAAAGACUUUAGAUUCAAGACAUUUUAAUUUAAAUAAAAGCGGUUCCCAGCCUAUUUUGCUAAACUUUGAAUCCACCAGAUUUGUUCUUAGUCACUUUCCAUCUCCAUCCACACCUCUCUGUACUCCUUUUUGUUACACAAUGUGUUGAUUGCUAUAUAAUAAAGGGGAUCCUAAAUAGGUAAAAUCUUUCGUAAAAUUGUCGUACAAUCUUUCAUUGUAGGUCCUCUAUCAUCAAUCUUCUCCAAUACCUUUACUAACUUUUUGAAUUUUUAACUAGUUUCAUCAAUUUUCUGUUCUUUUGUUUUUUCUUAGAACCUUAUACCUCAUUUAUACUUGGCUGAUCGGAGUUGUAAUCUGAUGCAGGUGUUUUAGGUCCAUUAUCAUCAUCCUCUACUUUAAUUGAAGUUUCAUUAGGCAUAGGUGUUUCAAAUAUUGAUGACAGAUUUCCCACUUCUGCUAAGUCAUUCAUGCCAGAACUCCAAGUAUUAGAUCUAGUAGCUAAAACUCCAGAGAACAACGUCUCUAAUUCCUCGGCAUUAGCUAAAGGCUUAAAACGAAACUGUCUAGCUUUUGGAUAUUUCUAUUUAACAAUGAAAAAGUAGUUAACGCCUAUAUAUUAUAAAAUCUUUUAUAAACUCAUUCUAAUAAAUUAAAUAAUUAAAAUGUUACCUUUAUGUACUCUUCCCAUCUUUCAUCUGGCCAAUCAAAUGUUUGGGUCAUAGGAUUGUAAUCAUAUCCUGUUACUGUUGUCAUCUUAAUCCUUGUUGAAUAUUGUUUUUUCAUAUAAUCCCAACCAUUUUUAAAGCUUCUUCCAGAUAUCUUAAAUAUUUCUUCUCCAAUUCGAGCCCAAUCACGUGGCUUUAAAGUUCCUCCUUAUCUAAUUCCAUUAUUUAUCUCAAUGAGGCAAAGAUCAAUUAAUUGCUUUAUUUGGACAAGAUCACUCCAAUUUGCUCUACAAACUCCAACAUUUUCAGCCAUUUAUGAUCGAAUCAAGUCAUAGACAUGUAUAAUUAGUAUUGAAAAUAGAAGAUAAUUAUGUUAAUAGUUAUUGACUUCUUCAAUGUAAACAUGUUGUCCUCUAUUUCUAGAAACCGAAAAAAAUAUUUCACAAUAAUGAAAUUGAUGACAACAAUAACAGUUAUCUAAUGUUUCAAAUUUCUUAAACUUAAAACUAGUAGCUCUUAAACUUAAAACUAGUAGCAAAUGCUAAAUGGAAUCAAAACAAUAUGCAAGCAUAUUGAGUUGUCUAGUCUAGAUGAAAUUUACUUGAUUCAUAUGGAAGCUAAAUAGUAGCAAGAGUAUGAUGAUUGAAAUAUAAAGAGAGAAAUACAUAGUACAAAACAACAAUUAGAGUAAUGAUGACAUAUGAGAUGUAGUUGCCAAAAUUAAACAAAUCACAAACGCAAUAAUAUCACAGAGCCUUAAAAAAAAAAACACACACAGAGCAUAACAAUACCUCUAGGGAUCUGAAAGUGAUAGGCCUCGACGCUCAUCAAGGGUACCUAAGCCUAAUACCCUGUAUCAAGGAUACACAUGAGCUGCUGCAUGAGAACUUGGUAGUUGAAGGGACACAUGUGCACUCCACUAGUUUUGCAGAUGGACUUGGUCUCCAAAGAAUCUUCACUUGCUGAUUUUAUGUUAUUUGAUUUCUUAUUAUUUGAAUUAUUGUUAUUUAGCUGUUAGUUUAAGAGAAUAAGUCAGCCUAGAAUCAGCCAACAAUCACGAUCAGUUGAGAUUGUGAUGGCUUCAUAUUGUUCUAAGUAUAAAUGAGCUCCAACAGCAAGAAUAAAGGAGGAGAGUAUCAACUAAAUUCAAUUACUUGUGGUUAUUCUCACCCUAAGAGAAAUCUAUUUUAAUUAGCUUUGACUGGGACCGCAUCAGAAAGUCGUAUUAAUAUAAGAAAAGCCAAUGCACAACUUAGCAGAAGUGAAGAAGGUAACCGACCACAAUUUAUUUCACGAUCUACUAAGCUUGAGUGCCCAAAGUUUGCAGGUGGCGACCCAACAGAAUGGCACAACCGAAUACUUCAAUUCUUCGAGUACCAAGAGUCCACCGACGAACAGAAGGUGUCUCUUGCUUCCUUUCACCUCGAAGGAGAGGCCAACCAAUGGUGGCAAUGGCUGCGGCGUGCGUAUCGUGAGGAAAACAAAUUGGUAACAUGGAACAAUUUUGUGGAGGAGCUUUGGGCUCGCUUCGGACCUACGGAAUGCGAAGAUUACAAUGAAGCCUUAUCAAGAGUAAAACAAACAGGGACUCUCCGUGACUACCAAAGAGAGUUUGAGAGGUUGGGAAACCGAGUUAGUGGCUGGACACAAGGGGCGCUUGUGGGAACCUUCAUGGGGGGCCUGAAACCGGAGAUUGCGGAUGAAAUUAGGAUGUUCAUGCCAAAAACGUUGAAGGAUGCGUUUAAACUCGCACGAAUGAGAGAUGAACAGCUGACUCGUCAAAGGAAAACAAUUGUAACGAACCCAACCACAACCAAUCGCUCCCCAACAACAAGCAGCAUCAAGAUGCUACCAUGGGAAGAGAUGCAGCGUAGAAGAGCACUUGGUUUGUGUUUCAACUGUAACGAACGUUUCACUGCAGGUCACAAGUGCCAAGGACCACAGUUGCUGUUACUUGAAGUUGGAGCCGUUGAUAAUGAAAACGCAAACAAUGAACAAACAAAAGAAAUUCAAACUGAACCCGAAAUCACAUACUACGCUCUCAUGGGCUGGACCGCUCCUCAGACCAUGAGGGUCUCUGCCAAAAUUGGGCCUUACAAAAUUGUGGUACUGAUUGACAGUGGUUCGACGCACAACUUUAUCAGCAGUCGUUUGGCAAAUUUGUUACAGCUCCCGGUUCUUCCUACCUCUGGAUUCUCAGUAAAAGUAGCUAAUGGUGAAACGUUAUUAUGCAGGGGCAAGUUCGAAAAGGUACAACUAUUCUUGCAAGAUAUUCCAUUUACUCUUACCUUGUAUGCAUUGCCCAUUACAAGGUUAGAUUUGGUACUUGGGAUACAAUGGUUGGAGCAAUUGGGCUCGGUAGUGUGUAAUUGGAAGCAACUCACAAUGGAAUUUGAUUGGGAGAACCAAAAGCGGCAGCUGCAAGGUAUUGGCCUUCAGGCUCCACAAUUGGCCUCUCUCACUGAAAUUUCCCAUGAUGCUAAGCAAGGGCAGCAAGGUUUCACAAUUUGCUUCAAUAUGAGGCUUGAACCCGCACUAAGCAAGACGGCAUCAGAUAUGCAAAGUUUGCUGGAGGAGUAUUCAACUUUAUUCCAAGAACCAACACAUCUUCCCCCAAGCCGUGAGAUAGAGCACAACAUUACAUUAAAGGAGGGAACCGAACCUGUUAAUGUAAGGCCAUACAGAUAUGCUCACUUCCAAAAAGAUGAAAUUGAACGACAAGUCAAUGAGAUGCUCAAUUCAGGGUUAAUACGACCAAGUACCAGCCCAUUUUCUUCACCCGUGCUCUUGGUGAAAAAGAAAGAUGGAAGUUGGAGAUUUUGCACUGAUUACCGUGCGCUCAAUGCGGUUACUGUCAAGGACCGAUUUCCUAUACCAACCGUUGAUGACAUGUUGGAUGAGUUGCAUGGAGCCGCUUUCUUUACCAAACUAGACUUACGGGCCGGGUACCACCAAGUUCGAGUCAAACCCACAAAUGUUCACAAGACAGCCUUCAGAACACACAACGGCCAUUACGAGUAUCUGGUAAUGCCAUUCGGCCUUUGUAAUGCUCCAUCAACAUUCCAGGCAAUCAUGAACUCUAUUUUUCGGCCGUACUUAAGAAAAUUUAUUUUAGUUUUCUUUGACGACAUACUAAUAUACAGCUCCUCUUGGAGUUAUCAUCUUGAUCAUGUCAGACAGGCAUUAGAGGUAUUAAAGCAGCACCAAUUUUUUGUUAAAUCAAGCAAAUGUCACUUUGGACAGCAGGAGUUAGAAUAUUUGGGGCACAUCGUCACCUGUCAUGGUGUGAAGGUGGAUGACUCAAAAAUUGCCGCUAUGGUCUCUUGGCCACUACCAAAAAAUAUCAGCGAAUUGCGAGGCUUCCUAGGACUAACGGGAUAUUACAGAAAGUUUGUGCAGGGAUAUGGGCUGCUAGCAAAACCUCUCACCAAUUUGUUAAAAAAAGGGCAAUUUGAGUGGAGCAUGGAAGCUGAGGAAGCAUUCAACAAACUAAAGAAAGCAAUGACCAGCACCCCUACCUUGGCUAUGCCGAAUUUCAACAACACUUUCAUCAUUGAAACAGAUGCCUCGGGAGACGGGAUAGGAGCAGUCCUACAACAAAAUGGUCAGCCAAUCGCAUUCAUGAGUAAAGCACUUGGAGUUUCCAAGAAAACAUGGUCUUCCUAUGCUAAAGAAAUGUUGGCGAUAGUGGAGGCAAUUCGUACAUGGAGACCGUAUCUAUUGGGAAGAAAAUUCAUUAUCCGGACAGACCAACGCAGCCUAAAAUAUCUCUUGGAGCAACGCAUAGCCACACCAGAACAACAGGAAUGGAUAGCAAAACUAAUGGGGUUUGAAUAUGAAAUCCAAUAUCGGCCGGGCAAGGAGAAUAUGGCAGCGGACGCUCUCUCCCGACGUCCUGACAGUGCAAUACUUAACCAUCUAUUUGUGUCACAGGUUUCAAUUUGGGAACAAAUUAAACACGCUGCUGCAGAUGAUGACUAUGUUAAAAGAAUAACAUCAUUGGCCCACACACAAGAUACCAGCCCAUAUGUAAUUCGUCAAGGAUUAGUCUUCUUCAAAGGCAGAGUUGUGGUGCCGCUCAAAUUACGAGAAACGUUAAUCUUUGAAGCACACGACACAAAGAUGGGCGGCCAUUCUGGAGUACUUCGCACGUUCAAACGCUUGGCAACUCAAUUCUACUGGCCUUAUAUGUACAAAAUAAUACAUGAUUAUGUUAGCAGGUGUGUUAUUUGUCAAAAAACAAAAGCUUCCACACUGAAGCCAGCGGGUCUCCUACAACCUCUUCCAAUUCCUUGCAAAGUGUGGGAUGAUAUCACACUCGAUUUUAUUGAGGGAUUACCAAACUCGCAAGGGAAGGAUACCAUCCUAGUUGUUGUUGACAGGCUCAGUAAAUAUGCACACUUCAUGGCUUUGACGCAUCCGUUCACAGCAAAAACAGUGGCGGAACGAUUUGUUGACGGUGUGGUUAAACAUCAUGGCAUGCCAAAGUCAAUCAUCAGCGACAGAGACCCCAUUUUUAUUAGUAAGUUUUGGCAGAAGUUCUUCCAAAUGUCAGGAACCAAAUUGAAAUUGAGCUCGGCGUACCAUCCGCAGACCGACGGACAAACGGAGGUCACAAAUAGGUGCUUGGAACAAUACCUCCGGAGCUUUGUUCACCAAUGGCCUCGCAAAUGGAAUUCAUACCUUCCUUGGGCAGAGUAUUGGUACAAUACGACGUAUCAUGAGUCUACUGGUAUGACCCCUUUCCUUGCUCUUUAUGGCCGCAAACCUCCCACUUUGCCCAUGUAUCAUGAAGGCUCUUCUCCGGUUCAUGAGGUAGACCAGGCCCUGCUAACUCGAGAUGAGUUGCUUCAAUUGCUGAAGAGCAAUCUUGCUGUUGCCAUUAAUCGCAUGAAACAAUCAGCCGACAAAAGGCGUCGUGAUGUUCAAUUUCAGCCUGGCGAUAUGGUCUAUUUAAAACUCCAGCCAUAUCGUCAAGCUACGGUUUUUCAGCGUGCUCAUCAGAAAUUAGCAAGCAAAUACUUUGGUCCAUAUCUAGUUCUUGAACGGAUUGGUAGUGUUGCUUAUAAACUACGAUUGCCAACUCAGUCUCGUGUGCACCCAAUCUUUCAUGUUUCAUUGCUGAAAAAAUUUAUUGGUGAUAACCCUAGCCCUGGUCUUGAGUUGCCAUCUGUUGAUGAUGAUGGGCUAAUCAUUUUAGAACCUGCUGAAAUUAUUGAUGUUCGUUGGAUUAAAAGAGGUGGCAAAUUUGUGGAACAAUGUUUGGUGCAAUGGAAACGUCUGCCAAAGGAAGAAGCAACAUGGGAAGAUGCUGUAGAGCUUACGCAGAAGUUUCCUCAUUUGUCCCUUGUGGACAAGGGACCACUUCCAGGGCGGGAGGAUGAUAGGCCUCGACGCUCAUCAAGGGUACCUAAGCCUAAUACCCUGUAUCAAGGAUACACAUGAGCUGCUGCAUGAGAACUUGGUAGUUGAAGGGACACAUGUGCACUCCACUAGUUUUGCGGAUGGACUUGGUCUCCAAAGAAUCUUCACUUGCUGAUUUUAUGUUAUUUGAUUUCUUAUUAUUUGAAUUAUUGUUAUUUAGCUGUUAGUUUAAGAGAAUAAGUCAACCUAGAAUCAGCCAACAAUCACGAUCAGUUGAGAUUGUGAUGACUUCAUAUUGUUCUAAGUAUAAAUGAGCUCCAACAGCAAGAAUAAAGGAGGAGAGUAUCAACUAAAUUCAAUUACUUGUGGUUAUUCUCACCCUAAGAGAAAUCUAUUUUAAUUAGCUUUGACUGGGACCGCAUCAGAAAGUCGUAUUAAUAUAAGAAAAGCCAAUUGAUAAUCUAAAAGAUAAUAUGAUUUUAAAAUAGUCUUGCGUCGGGCUUGGGCUAUUUCUGUAAAGCCCUAGCUCAACCCUCUCACAUGGUGCCUGGUGGUGGCCUAGGCUAUUCAGAAAAGGUAUCGAAACAAAACAAGAGAUUGAAAGGCAAGAAAUGCACAUUUUUAAACGUUUUUUUCCUACUGUAGUUAGAAAGGUUGAUAAAUAAAUUGAAGUUAUUGUAUAUAUUAUGUAUAUGUAACUCUACUAGUAUGAGUGAGAGUGAGAACAAUCAAUUAAUCCAAAAGAUUUUAGAAAAUCAACUCAAAAAACCAAUCAACAUCAAUGGUGUAAGUAGUGGCGGACCAAGACACUUAAAUCGGGGGAGGGGGGCUUAGUUUAAGAAAUUUUAUUUAAUUUGGAGUAUUUUUUUAAAUGUUCACUUGAAUUCAUUUUAAAUUUCAUAAACUCAAAUUCCAUUGCUUUCUUUUAAAUUUUAAAUAAUAAUAGUAAUAAAUUAUUUAUUUUAAAUGUGUGAAAGUAUCCUUUUUCUAAAUAGUUUUCACAAAAUAUUUAAAAAGACAAAAUAAUAUGGUUAUUGGGAUUUGAACCAAGAUUCUAAAACCAUCAAAUAACAUACUUACCAUUAAAUUACUAAAUUUUUGUUAUGUAAAAGUGUGUCCCAAUUCUUUUUAUUUAACUCUUUUAGAAGGGGCUUGGAGUGCAUUUAAAAAAAAAAAUUAAUGGCACAGAAGGAGCUGAAGUCCCUCCUGAGCCUUAGUUGGGUCCACCCAUGGGUGUAAGUAACUGAGACAAUAAUUUCAUCAAUAAAAAUUUAAGAAAUAACAUAUAAAUUAGCACUAAUGUAAAAACAUAAUAUUUAGAAAAAUUGUAAAAAAAAAAAAAAAAGUAUACGUUAAUACUAGAGAUUCAAUGGGAUGUAUUUGAAGAAUUUCAAUGCUAACGAAAAAGAGAACAAAUAGAAAGAAUAUUUGAACGUUAAUUAGAAAGAGAUAAAGAAGUAUUAGAUUUUACAAUAUGAGAAAUAUGUAUAUUUAAUAGGGAUAUUAUUGGAAUAUAGUAUUUAUUUCCUAUUCAUACUUUUUUCAUUAGAUAAAAUCACAUAAUUUUAUUUUUUCUAUUCAGCCGUAAAUAUCUAAAAAUCAUAUAUAAGUUGAAAAAACAAACAAACAAAUUUGAAAACAAACAUAUGAAGAGUGUGUUUGGGAGUGAGAUACUGUAGUUUUUAAGCUGCAACUUCUGUAGAGUAAAAACUACAGCUAUAGAAUAGAAGUUAAAAAAAAAUUACUAAAUUAUCAAAGGUCAGUUACAAAUAUUAUCAUAUACUUUAGUAGUUAGGCUAUUACCUCACUCCCAAACGGACUAAAAACGCUUAACAAACACGCACUGUGUCCAGAAGUCCAAAACAUGAUUUAAAAAUAUUCAGUGGUAUUAAAUAAAAGGAUAUUUAGGUAAUUUCACUUCAGAGUCUGUCAUAUUCUUGACGGUUAAAGGCAUUAUUGAGUCAUUUAUCUGGGGCAAAUCGGCAAAUCCCUCGCUAAAAACCAGUUAACCUUUACCAGCACUAUCUAAGGGUUUACGAUUUUCCAAAAUUUUAUGGCCCAAAUGGAGAGGUCUCAAGUUGAAACGACGUCAUUCUGUUUCUCUCCUCAUCGCCAUCUCAAGAGCGAAACUUACCGUGCUCUAGUUCAGAUUCUAUCGCAUUGCUAUGACCACUCUCAAAUCUCUGCUGCGCAAGACUCAAGACCGGGUACUUGAUUUACACCGUCCAUUAGAAUUUUAAAUUUUAGUUUAAGAAGCUGAAUUCACGUUUUAUUUUAGGAACUCUUAUAUUAACAGAUUUGAUUACCUAAAAUUUGCUUGAAUAUUACAAUCCCUCUGUUUCAAUAUGCUUCUGCUACUAUUACUUUCAAUUAUGUUAUUCUUUUUUCUGUGUGUGUGUGUGUUUUUUUUUUCUUUUACAUUUUUAUUUUUUUUCUCUUUUAAAGGAAUGUGUGGGAGUGGCGAAUUGGUGGGUCCCAAUGCUGCGGUGGUUGAUAACUCCUUGGCUGAGAAAGACAAAGCUGGUGACGAAGAUAGAUGGUUUGGUGACGCUCAAAUUGUGCUGGAUGAGAUACAGGAUAUAUUGCAAGUAGAAGAAAAUGGCAAUUUGCUGAAGCAAGAGCUGGCAGUUUGUGAUGGUGACUAUGAGACUGGUAACUUUGAUGAAGGGUUAGGGCAGCAACGAAUGUUAAUGGAUGAGUUAGAGCAUAUUCUGAAGGGAGAUGUAAUCUUUGUCCACGAAGAGGAUGCAUUGGUGAAUGAUCGACAGGAACAUGUUGAUAUUCAACAAAUUGUUAAUGUGGAAUCUAGGAGUGAGGCUGAGCUACAAGUAGAUAAAGGAGACAGUAAUUUAGAUGUUCCUAAGUCAUUUGAUUCUUCUGUAGACAGAAAUAUGGAUUCUCACGCCUCAAAACCGGCUGAGGAUAGUGAAGAGAGAAAUUCUAAAUUGAGGACAAAUUCAUUGGAAUUUGAGAAUGAAAUGCAGCAGAAGGAGAUGGAAGAGGAGAAAUUAGUUCAUACAAAUGGCAUAAUUGGUGCCCAUGAUCAUAGGGCUGAAGAUGUAGAGGUUGAAGAGGGAGAAAUUUCUGGCCACUUUGAGGUUGACGAAGUAUCCAUUGAUAUGAUAAUUGACAAUGCUGUAGUGUCAAAUGAAAAGAAAGAAGACGAGGAGCAAGUUUCCAAAGAUGUAACUGAUAAGACAGACUUCCCUUGUAAUGAAAAAUGUGGAGGCACUGAGAAAUUUUCUGACUCCACUUCUGUUUGUUUGAAUGCUGUCGACCAUAACGCUAGUGGUGGAACAGUGGAACUCCAAGAAACUGUUAGAAAUGAAACACAAUGCAAGACCAAAAUCUUUGCUGAUGGAACUGCCACAAUGGCCAUAGAUCCAGACAGGUAUAAUAGCAUGCCUGGUGUUGGAAGAAAUAAGAGGAAAGCUAGUAGAGAUGAGGAGGGUAUCAGCAGUUUUUCAGCAUCUCUUGAUGAUUCAACAGUGCAGAAAGAAGUUGUAAAGCAAAGGGUGACUCAAGAGCAAGGAAUUACGACCAAAGACAAGGUGCAAUUCUUAUUUCUUAUAGUACUUAAUUUACUAUUUUAUAUAUGUGUUCGCUACAGCAAUAUAGUGAUAAAUUUGUUUCAUUACAUCUGUUAAUGUGCUCCACUGUGUAGUAUAUGUUUGAUUUUCUUCUUUUCUUUUUUCCUUUUCUUUCUCCAUUAUUUGAUAAUUUAUAAUGCACGGCCUUUAUUGCCAAGGAGGCUUUUUGAUUGGUCAUCAUGUAUGCCUCUCUGUUGUUUAUAUACAAUCCACAACUUUUAGUUUGUGGAUCUGGCUUAACUUUCAAAAUAUGGUUCUGGGGGAAAUUGUGGAUUACAACUUUUGGCAAUCUCUAGCUACAAGCAUGGCCGCAACUGUCAUCAGAUUUGGACAAGUUAAUUGUACCUUCAUGAUCAUUGCUGUGAAAUGGAGAGUGUCAACCAUAUGCAUUGCAAAUUGUGUGACUUGUUGAAAUAAUACGUUUGUUUCAUUCUUCCUUUCACUUUCCGAAGCAGAAUUUAUUCUGAAACCAGUCAUUUUGAGGGUGCAAUUAAUAUGUAAUCCACUGGCACUUUUUUUUUCUCUUAGAUGUACAUGCAACGGACACGAACAUACUUGUAUACAAUAGCGACAGACUUUCUCUGUAAUGUCUGGUUAUAAAUAUCAGAGAGAGGCUGCUGAAUAUGAUGUUUAAAUGCAUUUUACCAUGUUUUUAUUUUUGUAUUGCAAUUUUGGUCCACUGGAAACAUUAUGGUAUUUUGUUGUUUUUUGCAGUUGGAUUCUGGUGCUUGCAAUAAGAGAAAGCGGAGUGCUCUGUCUAAGGAAAAGAAAGCAAAGAAAAAGGUUUACACCUUUUUAUUUUUGUUCUUCGGUUGUUUGAAGGAUUUCUUUCAUCUAUCUAGGUCAUUAAUUCCUGAUUAAUUCUGAUGAAAUUAAUUAUUCAUUUCUCUAAAAUCAUUUUAAGAUUGAUUUAUGUGCUUCCUAAACCAAAGUGCCACCAUGUACAUUCAUUACAUUUUCUAUGUGUUUUCGAAGUGUAUAAUUAGUUUAACAUUGGAAUUUUCUUUUUCAGCAAAAAGAACGCAAAAAACGUGCAGAAAAGAACCGACAGCUUGGCGUUCGAAGGUUGAAAUUGCCCCAAAAUUUGAAACCAAAAACUGUUAAAUAUUGCCACCAUUAUCUCAAGGGAAGAUGUCAAGAGGUCGUACAAUUUUCCAUUUUUUUAGGAUUUUAUAUUUUUAUAUUGAUUUUGAAUUGCUCUGGAGUAGAUGUGUACUCAUUUUUUGCAUAGUACGAGGAAUUUCACUUAGCUGUUUUCUAAUCAUUAUCAAAUGAUCUAGUCUCUUUUAGUUGUUUUCGCUUUGCUGUUGCUAAUUAUUACUACCAUUAUUAUUAUUACUAUUUUUUGGUUUUACAGGGUGACAAGUGUAAAUUUUCACAUGAUACCGUACCUUUGACAAAGUCCACGAAGGUAAUUCAACUUCUUGAUUACAAAUUUUAAUCUUUUGCUAGUAAUGCAAUCUAAUCUGAUACAUUGUUGUAGCUAUACUUUUGUAACUACUGGAGGCUGAAUAUCUUGAUUUUAUUACAAUUAACCAACCUGUAGUUUGUUGCCAUGGCUAAAAAACGUUGGCUUAACUUCUAUGCUCACAUUUUAUUCAAUAUGUAUUCUGUAAACUGAAUUUGUAUUAUGAGGAAUGUUUAGUAGCAUAUAAUUAAAAGAUCUUAGUUCUGAUUCCCGGUACUGCAUUAACUUACCCAGACGACCAUCGGACUAUAAAGUUAAAAGAAGAAAGAAAGAAAAUUAAUCAUAUAAUUCUCUUUAAUUAGAAUUUAUUUAUUUUCCAUGGAAAAGUUGCUGGUUCUGUAAAGCUCAAUUCUCAGUUUCUCUUGCAUUUUAAUGAUGCAGGCAUGCUGUCAUUUUGCACGAAAUUCAUGCAUGAAAGGAGAUAACUGUCCAUUUGAUCAUGACCUCUCUAAAUAUCCCUGUGAGAAUUUUGUGGCCAAAGGCUUUUGCAACAGAGGUGAUAAUUGUUUGUUUUCACACAAGGUACCUUCUUCUUGCUAUUGCAAGAUGCUUCUUCAUUUGUGCCACUAUCAUUGCUUUAAUUUUCUGUGUAGUAUAAUUUCUUAAGCUGUUCAGUUUAAGGCUUGUUUGGAUUAAGUGAGUUGAGUACGUAAUUUUUCUUUGCUUCAGCUACCACCCAAGGAACAGGACCCGCCUACUCCAAGUACUUGCACACCUGAACUGAAGCCUUCACCUCCGUUGUAUGCUUCAAAUUUGUUGAAGCCACUAAACAAUAACAAAGUCUCCCAUCAGAAUGUUGAUGCACUAUCCAACCAUGGGAAAGUUUCUUCUUUCAAAAAUAUAGAACAAAGUGUGGCAAAGAGUAUACUGAAGCCACCUGCACUUGCACCUAAAGGUAUUAGUUAUCUCUUUCUGGGGAAGUCAUCAUUUCUUGAAGCCAGCAAUCUUGGCCAAGGCAUCUCAUCUCCAAAGAAGAGCGACAGUAGCAAAUUCGCAAAUCAGACUGCACAAAUUGCAUCUGAUUCUGUGCAAAGUAGGGAUGAAACUCCAAGGAGAAUUCCAGUGGCAACAAAGGGUGUAAAUUUUCUUUCUUUUGGCAAUCGUUCAUUGGAGGAUUCCAGUGGUAAGAAAUUAGCUAACUUGUUUUUGAAUCGGGAAAAUGGUGCCAAAACAUCACUAUCAAACAAUUUUGGGUUGCAUGAAACAUCUAGCUCCUCUUCCUGUGGAGAGAAUGAUGCCGAAGUUGGAAAUGCAACGACCCAAAUAUUCUCAAAUAGUGUUCAAAAGUCAAAUGAUAUGCCGAAGAAAACCCAACCUGCAAUUACACCUCGGGGAUUGAACUUUCUUUCUACUGGAAAAGCCUUGGCCAAUAACACUAUUAGUAAUAAUCAAGCUAGAUUACGUUCCAGUGCUGGUGAUGUUAUCAAUAGAUCUCUUGAAGAGAGUCCAAAUACUCCCAAUAUGUCGCAAAAUUCAAGUGCAAAUCCAUGGAGUCUGCCAGGUUCUUCAUUUACUUUAGGUCACUCUUUAGAUCACUCAGCACAAGGGUACUAUAGAAGUACAUCAAACUCAGCUCAGAGGGCACUAGAAUUUGCAACAAAGAUUGAACCCAAAGUGAAGACUAAUCAGUCUACGGUUGGAACUGCAGUCAAAUAAUGCAGCAAGGGGUAUUAGAUAGUGGUGGCAGUACCGUAUGUUCAUAUAAUGACUCAGCGAAAGCCUCAAAAACUCUGGACUUCUUGCCUGGUGUUAGUAAUAGAACAAAGCAGUAGACACUCGAUAGCCAGCGGUUUAGUUGAGAGUUUGGCUUUGAUAUACAUGUGGCUGAUUCUUUUGGAGUCUCGGCAUCUGUAUAUCUUUCAUUGGAAAAUGUUAAGAAAAUAAGCAGGUGAGUUUUUACUUCUAUCUAUGUGAUUAUCGCUCUCAAUGCUUCACAUUAGCUAUCUGCUAUUGAUUUAGAGAACCGAAGCUAAUGGAAGUAGUUUAUGGUAUGGAUGGAGUUUCAUAACUGCAGUUUGCAAGUCAAUGAAGAUGAAGCAAAAUUUCUCCGGAAUGGUUCAUGUAUCCAAAAUUGAGGUUGGCACUUGACAGCAGGCUUUGGUAGGCUGUGGAUCUGUUGUCCGUUUAGCAGCUGUAUUAUGGGCGCUUAUGACUGGAGACUAUUCAGUUUUGAUUAACUUAAGGUUGGCCAACUAUUCCUAGUACUGAUAGUUGAUUUUUGCUCGGUGACAAUUGAUAAUAGUGUAUAUUGCUGUUACCAUCUUAAGUAGGCUUGGUAAAAUUUGAUAUGACCCACUCAUACGGUACGAAUCAAUACAACAAAAACAGUUGUCGGGUCAACCUUUAUUGGGUUGGGUCAUUAAUGAGUCAACUCAUUAAAACUUGUCCCAUAAGGGGCAGGACUUAGAUUUAAAUCCAUUUCACUCAGUCGAAUAACACUUAAAAUUAAUAGUUUAAUAACUGAAAUUAUAAACUUUGAAAGAAGUGAAUUGAUUUUUUUUAAUAUUAUAUGCAAAAAAUAAAUUGAAUGUAAAUUGACUAAUUAUAUAAAAUUAUCAAAAGCCCUAAAAUCCCUAGGUAUUUGUUGUAAAACUUGGAGUUUUUUUUUUUUUAUUCUGUUAUACACAGAUUGUUACUGAUAUUACAUCAGACAUUACAAUUAAUAUUUAUAAUCAUAUUAUACAACUGUGACCAUUGUUAUAUAUUGACACACUGAAGCACUUGCUCAGAUACUUUAAAUUUUCUCUAAUAUUCGAGGGGUGCCUACUCCAUCACAUUUCAUUAAGGAGAGACUGUCUCCACUCAAUUAGUUGAUAAUUGAGAGAGUACUGAAACUAACCUCCAUAAAGUUCUUAUGGAGACUCGAACCCUUGCACUUAACAUUGUAAGUGCAAGGUUUCUCUAUUGGUGUAAAACUUGGAGUUGUUAUUGACUCAUUAAAUGACUUUUCAGGUAAUGCAAAUUUCUUUCUAUGUUUUUUUUCCCCCUCUUAAGACUUUAAUAACUAAUAUUGGUGUCUAGCACUAAAUUAUUGAUAAUUUGCUGAUUAUAUUAUUAGAUCAUAUUAAACAUGAAGAAUAUUAAGAUUUUGUUUCAUUUUGUAUUAUAUACAUUUUUAGCAAGCCUAUUUUGUAAAUUGUUGUGUUUUAAAUUAAAAAUAGAUAAUUAUUUUAAAUUUACCCAAACAAGCAGGUUAAAUGGAUCGGUUUGGGUGGCAUUCUCAUGAUAACAAAUAGGUUCAAGUUUAUAUUUUUUUACCUAAAUAAGCUAAUGAAUGGGUUUGGGUAUGUAUAAUUUAAAACGACGUGAUAAGAGCACAUACACCAAACCGCACAAACGUGACCCAUUGUUAUGCCUAAUUGUUAAGAUUGAACUCUUGCAAGUCUUUUUAAUUAUAUUCUUACUUUAUGCAAUAAUCUUCCUAGUACCAUUAUUUCCUUGCUCAAAAUGUACCUCCUCCAUAUCCGAGUCAUCAUGCUGAACAUAAUAUUCUUCCUGCUGAUCUUUGUAAAGGAAUCAUGCAGAAUACUGUCAAUCUCUAGAAAAGCAAACCUAUUAAUCACAGUUAUAUUUUCAUUUUGUCAAGUCAAUUUCUUAGAAGCAUGUGUAAUAUUUUUUUCCUUCUGGAGAUUCAAUGGCAGGUUUUGAUAUAAUGUUUUUAAGUUCAAUGAACAAGUUAUUAGCGAUCAAUGAACAAGUUAUAUUUGAAUUGUAAGUAUGAUUACACUUGUGCAAUGACCUGUAUAAUUCCAUGAUUACUUAAAAUGUCAUAUUACAUGGUGAAUUUUUGUGAGAUUAAAUCUUUAAGUAAUCUUUUAUUUAGGAUUUUGUUUUUCAUGGAAAUGGUCACCUCUCUCUUUGUAAAUUGUGAGAAUGUGAAGGUUUGUUGCAUCCUGUAUAUUGGAACAACAAAGGUGACCAAAACAUUUUUCUUGUUGGAGAGCUUCUAACAACAAAUAUCUAAGCAUUAACUUUUCAUGGUUGCUUCCUGCGUGCUAAUAGUUUGUAGUGGUCUUGGAUCUGAUGAAGACUAUAGAAAAAAUUUCCCUGUGAAUGUUGUCCCCAAUAUAGGAUCAGAAAAUUAAAUCUUAUUUGUACCAUUUAUGUAGUACCAUCAUAUUUAGGCUUUUUCCAUGUUUGCUCUCCAUGUCAGCUGGUAUUUAUUAUAUAGUUACAUGAUAUAUUUUGUACGGGAAAGGUGGAGCCUAAUGCUCAUUAAACUUCGUCAAUAGCAUCGGAGAGUAAUGUUGCUCCAAGAACGUCAUUAAUGGUAACACCUCCUCUUAAACAUCCGCUGACCUCCAGUUGUUUUCAAGUCAUUUGGGGUGUAGACAAUGUAAUAUGUUGGUGUGGCUGACUGGGUGCGGUGCCUAGAAAAAGUCAGGGAAAUUUACGAAAAUAACCAUAAAAUUUUUGUUAUUUUCACAAUUAACCUUCUCAAUUUUUUUCUAUCAACAUUAGCCAAACACACGUUUUUCUCCCUAAAUUAUCCUUCUUUACAAACGAAAAGAAGCUUGGCGCGACAGGCACCUGUCGCACCAUGCUUUGGUGCGACAAGCACCUGUCGCACCAAGCUUCGUGCGACAGGUUGCCUUCUUCUAUCUCAGUAUUUGUUUGUUUUUGCCAGUUCUUUCGUCUUUGUUCGUCUCUUCUUAUUUGUAUGUAAUAUCUUCUUCUACCUCAGAUUGAAUCUCAUCCGACAACCCAAACAACAAAACAAAAUCAGCUUUUUAAUUCUCCAAAAUCCAAUUUCGGAAUUCAAAUUCCCCGGGAUUUUUCAUUAAAAGCCAUGUUGCGAAAUGCUAGGCGAGCUGUACGGAGACCUACCUCCACCCUCCGAUGAGGACAAACCCACCAACACGACCACCACUGUCUGGUCAAUUUUUGCGCCACCACAAACCAUCCUCAAGCCCCAAUCCAAACCCAAAACCACCCAAAAUUCUCUCCCGACUAGACUCCAUUCCUCACCUGUAAUCACACCUUCUCCCGACGACGUGGUAGCGCUACCGCAACCGGCAUUGGUCGACGCCACUUCGACCGUAAUUAAGGAGCACGACCCCGCUAGACCGAACUACGAUGAUUAUAGGAGAGAGAAGAAGAAGAAAGAGGUGGAUGCUGAAAUUAGUAGAGAACUGGAGAGAAGAAUGCAAGAGGAAGAGGAAAGGGAGAUGAGAGAGAUGGGUAAUUUGGUCUCAACGGUUCUUUUAUGGCUAAUGUUGAUAGAAAUUUGUUUGAGGGGUUAAGAUGAAAAAAACUAAAAUUUUUAUGGUUAUUAGUAUAAAUUUCCCAAAAGGCCAGCAUGCGCCCACCAUUUUUGAGGGCCUAUAAUAAUUUGGCUGGUCUAAUGUUAGUGGGACUCAAAAAUUAAAUGAUACGUCAUAUUAUUUAAAAUAAAAAAAUUUAUAAGUUGACCCAUCAUUUCUGCCAAAUAGAAAGUUAAUGGUUGUAGCACCUCAACAAUUUGGGUAGGUGCUUCUACUCCACUCAAGCUUCUUUCUUCUCUCUCUCUCUGUGUAUGUUACUGUAGGGCUAAUCUUGUUCAUCAUAAUUGCUUUGGAGUCAUCACGAAAAGACUAGGAUUGUUAUUCAAAGAAGAAAGCUAAAGUAAAAGCGCACAUGGUCUUCUUUUCUUUUUUGUUUUUUCAUAUUCAAAUUUGUUUGAAUUGUAGACUUUUGAGUUCAGAAUGAGCUGAAUAUUCUUUCGCUGUUUUGCAUUUUCAAAUUUAAUGAUGUUAUUGCCGUCGCUUUUUGAAUAUUUUCCCUUUUGUUUUGUUUACUUUUACUUGUCAUUUAGAGAUGAGUUGCGUUGAUAUUUUCGAAUUGUUAAUAAACUUUUGUAUCCAAUUGAUAUGAGAUUUGGGCCGUACACUGAAUUUUCAGGACAAUUAGAACUCGUUCACUCAAAAUAGAAGAACAAUUAGAAGCUUGGCCUUGCCAAUGAGGGCACGCGGUGAGCUUAGGAAACGCACGUUACACCCUUAAUGUAACGUGUGACUUCAUAAAAAUGGAAUUGUAUUCAUACCCUUUGGUUUUUCCUUCUAUAGUUCUCUUUUAGUUACAAUGUGUCUCAAUAUUAAUAAAUCUACACCCGCACGAUCGUGGAUGAUAAAAGCUCAUAUGAAUGGAUUUUCUCAUGGCAAACAAAAAAUAAAUAAAUAAAUAAAGAAGAAUAAUCUCUCUUAUGGGUAGGGUAGAAACAUUUAGAUUUCUUUCAAGUACGGAGUGGAGGGAGGCACAAAUUUUAGUUAUUGUCAUUAGACUUUAAAUUUGUAUAAGUUCAUGAGUAUUAGGAAACACCACAUUAUAAUAUUCAUAGAUAAUAAUUAAUUAAAAAUAAAAAAUUAGGUGAAAUUAAUAGAAAAUUAGAAAGAGUAGGGCUAUUUGAACUUACCAAAGUCCUCUCUACUCUCAUCUAAAAGAGCAUAUUAAUUAUUGUAAAUUAAGUCUUCAAAAUUUCAAAAUUAAACCGAGAGUGAAGGUGGCAUUUGUUUUUUAUUUGAAAUCUAAAUAUAUCUGAAUUGGUCUGUAAUUUGGAUAGACCUGAAAGAUAAAUUUCCCAAAAGGCCAGCAUGCGCCCACCAUUUUUGAGGGCCUAUAAUAAUUUGGCUGGUCUAAUGUUAGUGGGACUCAAAAAUUAAAUGAUACGUCAUAUUAUUUAAAAUAAAAAAAUUUAUAAGUUGACCCAUCAUUUCUGCCAAAUAGAAAGUUAAUGGUUGUAGCACCUCAACAAUUUGGGUAGGUGCUUCUACUCCACUCAAGCUUCUUUCUUCUCUCUCUCUCUGUGUAUGUUACUGUAGGGCUAAUCUUGUUCAUCAUAAUUGCUUUGGAGUCAUCACGAAAAGACUAGGAUUGUUAUUCAAAGAAGAAAGCUAAAGUAAAAGCGCACAUGGUCUUCUUUUCUUUUUUGUUUUUUCAUAUUCAAAUUUGUUUGAAUUGUAGACUUUUGAGUUCAGAAUGAGCUGAAUAUUCUUUCGCUGUUUUGCAUUUUCAAAUUUAAUGAUGUUAUUGCCGUCGCUUUUUGAAUAUUUUCCCUUUUGUUUUGUUUACUUUUACUUGUCAUUUAGAGAUGAGUUGCGUUGAUAUUUUCGAAUUGUUAAUAAACUUUUGUAUCCAAUUGAUAUGAGAUUUGGGCCGUACACUGAAUUUUCAGGACAAUUAGAACUCGUUCACUCAAAAUAGAAGAACAAUUAGAAGCUUGGCCUUGCCAAUGAGGGCACGCGGUGAGCUUAGGAAACGCACGUUACACCCUUAAUGUAACGUGUGACUUCAUAAAAAUGGAAUUGUAUUCAUACCCUUUGGUUUUUCCUUCUAUAGUUCUCUUUUAGUUACAAUGUGUCUCAAUAUUAAUAAAUCUACACCCGCACGAUCGUGGAUGAUAAAAGCUCAUAUGAAUGGAUUUUCUCAUGGCAAACAAAAAAUAAAUAAAUAAAUAAAGAAGAAUAAUCUCUCUUAUGGGUAGGGUAGAAACAUUUAGAUUUCUUUCAAGUACGGAGUGGAGGGAGGCACAAAUUUUAGUUAUUGUCAUUAGACUUUAAAUUUGUAUAAGUUCAUGAGUAUUAGGAAACACCACAUUAUAAUAUUCAUAGAUAAUAAUUAAUUAAAAAUAAAAAAUUAGGUGAAAUUAAUAGAAAAUUAGAAAGAGUAGGGCUAUUUGAACUUACCAAAGUCCUCUCUACUCUCAUCUAAAAGAGCAUAUUAAUUAUUGUAAAUUAAGUCUUCAAAAUUUCAAAAUUAAACCGAGAGUGAAGGUGGCAUUUGUUUUUUAUUUGAAAUCUAAAUAUAUCUGAAUUGGUCUGUAAUUUGGAUAGACCUGAAAGUGUAAUCUGAAUAAUAUGUUUAUUUUUUAUCUGAAUCUCUAAAAAUAAGUAUUAAAUUAUUUUUUUCAGCUUUAAAAAGUAAAAACAUGUACUUUUACAUUUGUAUCUUAAUUAAAUUUGAAAAUCAAAUAAUAUAUAUAUUUAUAAUAUUUUAUCAUAUAUAAGCAAAAUCAUGUUCAAGUGACUAUAUAAUGAUUUUGAAAUUAUAAAAUUAUCAUUGCACCACCUCUGUUUUCCCUUAUGUUCAUCCAACCACCAUAAAAUUCUAACAUGUUCUCUACAUCACCUUUUUUUUUUAAGUUGUAUCAAUUAUCCACUUUUGCACUAACAUCAUUAAAUAAUUUAAACAAAAUUAUAAUUUUACCCCUAAAUAAAUUAAAAGACCAUUUUAUCUUAUAAAAACUUUAAAAAAUUAAAAAAAAUUAUAAUUAUAAAAAUACUCUUAAAUUUAAUAAAAAAAUAAACUGCUGUACCGUACAUCCGCCUUGGCCGUACAGACCUCUAUUUGGGAUUUAUUUUUUUAUUAAAAUUAAGGGCAUUUUUAUAAGAUAAAAUGAUCUUUUAUUUUUCAAAGUUUUUAUGAGAUAAAAUGGUAUUUUAAUUUAUUUAGGGGUAAAAUUAUCAUUUCGUUUAAAUUAUUUAACGAUGUUAGUAUAAAAAUGGCUAAUUGAUACAAAUUUAAAAAGAAAGGUGGCGCAGAGAACAUGUUAGAACUUUGUGGUGGUUGAAUGAAUAUAAGGCAAAAUAGAGGUGGUGUAAUGAUAAUUUUCCUUGAAAUUAUAAUAUAUAAAAUACCAUAAGUUUCAAAAUUUAUCACAAAUUCUCUACUAUAGUACAUAACAUAAGAGAAAAACUAAUAAUAUGCUUGAAAUAGUUGAUUUGCCAUAUAAUCUUGAAGUUAUUGCAUGAAAUUUUAAUCUUAAAUACUUGAGAGUUGCUAGCAUUAUUUGUUUGAUUUUGAUUGCCAUGACAUUUUCUAGCUCAAAUUUAUCAUUUUCAUAUUGAGCAAAUAAUGCAUCAUCCAUUGAUAUUUCUCAAACAAAAUUAUGUAUUGCCAUGCAUGCCACCACUAUUCUUCUCUGUGUAUCAAAUGAGUAUGGUACCAUCCUUUAGCACACCAAAAGCACAUUCAGUAACAUUUCUCAAUUUAGCAUGGGCACAAUUGAAUAUUUCUUCCCUUCCUCUAACUGGACCACCAUUGCAAAAGUCACCCAACCAAUAACGGACAUGAUGCUAUGGUGCCAUAAAACCUCUAGUAUAUGAAUAUGCUGCAUCUACUAAAUAAUAUUUAUUUAGAAAAAAAAAUGUUGAACAUGAUUGACUAAGAAAAUAUAAUAACAUAAAUAAUAAUGAUCAAACUGAUAAAACAAUGAAUAUUGACAUACCAAGUGGUGGAAUAGGAAAAUUGUUUCUUGAAUUACCAAUGGUUUCAGUUAAAAACCUUAAAUCAUGUACAAUUCUUUUCCAUUCAACAACAACCUACAUAAAUGUGGAGAACUAGAUUCUGUUUUUUGGGGGCUUAAUAGUAAACAAUUAAGACUUUUGUGGUCUUUAUGCAGAUUGACUUCAGUUUGUGGGUCAAUAUGUAAUUACAUUGCUGACAUGGCUAAAAUCGUUAUGUUUGUUAAGCUAAUUCUGGAAAAUUUCCAGAAUCAGCAAUAAAAGAAGAGCUGUUACAUAGCUUCUGGUGUGUGGGCGUUUCUUGUUCAUUUUUCAUCCAAAUUCAUUAAUUCUGGUUUCUCUGUAAAGCUUGUAAAUUCCUUUACAAGGUCCGAUCAAUUUGUAAUUAAUUUGAGCAAUAAAAGAGUGCAAAUGUUUUCUUUUCAAAUUGUGUUGCUUGGCAACUGUGUACUUUGAUCUGUUUUUUGAUCUUGUUAAUUGAUUCUUUGUUUUGCUUCGAUCUUAAAGGUUCUUUUGGUUAUUCUUGUCACCAAAAUACAACAGUUAAUAUCACGUCAAAAUCACAAAGUGCCAUUACAUUUUGAAAGCAUUCUCCUCUUCCGCAACCUCUAUAUGGUACCUGUUCAUCAGUUGGAAUGCAUGCAUUCUAUCAAUUGCGCCAAUAAUAUCCUGCAUAUUAAUAAUUAAAUUAUCUCAAAAACCAAAAUAAGAAGUGUUAUCCUUCAGAGCAUUAGUUUACACAAAGUUUUAUAUCUCAAAAGUUUGCCUUAAUUAAGUAAUAUGAAUGCCUUUGGAAUUAUCAGUAAAUGAUGAAGGAGUGAUCAUUUCUUUCGAAAACUUCAUCAUUGCCACUAGUCCUUAAUGAAAAUAUCUAUGCACUGUAUGACUUGAGUGCUGGAAUCUAAUUCUAAUGAACCAAUUUUUAGAAUAAGAAAUCCUUUGGUGAAAACCAUCACCUAUAAUUCAAGAACAUUCAUGUUGUAUCACCAAGAAUCAAUAACAAAAUUAUGCAAAAGUGUACCUGAAUUCAUAAUACUUAAUUGCUCUCUAGAGUUGUGUGGUUGAUAUUUCAGAUCAACACGUUCUCAUAAAGAAUCCUUUAAUUUUCUCUGUGCUCUCUCUCUGAUGAUAGAAUGUCAGAAAAAAUAAAAAGAUACAUGUGACUUGGGGAUCAUGACCACUUAUAUAGAUAACUUCUUUUAUUGUCUUUAGAUAAUUAUAUUUAAACUCAUCAUAGAAAUAGAAAUUACCUCUUUAAGUCUUUACAUAUUAAAGACUCAUACCCUAUUAGAUACAUUAAAGCUCAUAUUACUCAAAACCUUAAUAGAUCACUUUUAAUUGGGCUUUACCCUAUAUGACAUUCCGCAACACAUAAUUAUUUAUAUAUAAGUCCAAUGUUAGAUUAAGGAUCCAACAAUACUAGAUUAAAAAAUCCAACACCGAUGUCGAAGAUUUUGGCUGAUUGUAAAUAAGAACAUAGCCAUUUUCUUUUCAACAAUUGAAUGUUUACCAUUAAGAAGCCAUCAUUUUUCUUUGAACAAGUGACACAUAGAUAUAUCCAUCCGCACAAGAUCAUAGCAUAUUGUUGGCAAUCCAUUUAAAGUUAUUGAAUGUAAAGAGAUCCUGCACAAUAUGAUGUAAAUCCUGCUAGAGAUUAUGUAAAUUAAGAGAUCCUUUUUCUUUGAACAAUUGACAUAGAGGUAAAUCCCUUUAGCCGACACUUUCGAUAAAAUUUUCACUAUUAUGAUCAAUCGUUUCCGUAAUAUUCUUUUAACCUCAUUCCUUAUGCCAACUCAUCACUCAUAGACAUAUCUAUCAAUAUACAAAAAUAAAUAAACAAAUAUGUAUUACACAUGUAACACCUAAAGAAGAGCAUUUAUUAUCAAUUGAAUAUUGGACAUACCUACUAUUAAAAUCCAAAGUAUCGCUUAGGCACAAUCUAUUUGUGAGGGGAUAUAACAACCUGACCAUAUAAAUAAAUUUAUAAGAAAUUGCAACUUCAAAAAUAAAGUAAACAUAAACCACAUAAAGCACACUUUGGCAGCAAGAUAAUCGUCAAAUAUUCAAAUAACCAAAACACACAAUUCUUUACACAAACCAAAGUUCAACAAUGACCCCACUCAAAACGUUGACUCAUUACAUGAACUAAAAGCUAUAAAAUCCGAAAGUUCCAUAAUGACAACAAACAAAACAUUGACAAAUAAACUAGGAAAAAGAUAUUAAGGCCCUCUUGAUAAACAAAAAUUCCAUCCAAUGCAUUCUUCGUCACACUCCAUGUCCAUCUAUAGUUCUCGAUAUUCUCUUAUUGCAAAGUGAUUUAAUAUGUAAUAGGGUAAAUACUCAUUUAAUCCUUAUAUUUUAAUUUAAGUAUUUAUUUAAUCAAUAUAUUUAAAAAAUACUUCAUGACACCCAUGUUGUUAUACUUUUAACCUUACUUUUUCUUUCUUUUUACAAUAAUCUCUUGGCGACAAUAUUCUUGGGGAUAUUAAUUAAAAAAAUGAUAGUUUAUCAAAUUAAUUUUAAAAGCAGCAUAAAAAUUUACACAAAAUUUAAUACUAUUAUUUUACUUUUAGGAUUAAUUUUACAAAUUAUUUUUUUUAUAAAAGUAAUUAUUACUAAAACUGUUGCAAGAAUAUUAAAAAUUACUUAAAGUUAGUUGAUAUUAAUUUAUGUAAAAUUAAUUAUUACUAAUAUUGUUGUAUAUGUGCAAAAUAUACUAGUUCUUUCAUAUUGAUAUUUAUUGGUUAACUUACUAAUAAAUAAUUAAGGGUUAAAUUGCUAAUUGAAUUUUUCAUAGAUAAAUUAAUUAACAUCAGGAAUAUUGUUGUAAGGAUAUUAUAUUAAAAGCAAAGAAUAAGUAAGAGUAAGAAUAUAACAUAUUUAACUAUACGUGUGUUUUGAGAUUUUUUUUAGAUAGGGAUUAAAUGGAUAAUUGAAUCAACUUAUAGGGAAUAAAAGAACAUUUACCCCCACAUAAUACAUGGGAUUGUCAUGAGUUAGUGGCUUUCACGAAAUUGGCAUGCACUGAGUAAUUAAAGUCCUUUAUCAUUCGCCUUCUCCAAUACACCCACCAAUUUGUUGAUAUAUUUGCCAGUUUCAUCCAAUUUGCUUUUCUUUUGUUUCUUUUUACACCUUUAUAUGUCACCGGGAAGUGGUUCAUCCACGUUGGUGUAUGAAUUAGGUGUUUUUACCUCACAAUCAUCAUCAUCUAAACCGAUUGGAGUUUUAGAUAAUAUUGAAAAUAUAUCUUUCUAGUUUCCCUUCCAUUCCAGAACUCCAGUUAUAAGCUCCAGCUACUACUGCAUCUGAGAACAAUGCCUCUAACUCUUCAGCAUUUCUUAAAGGUUUAUUGCAAAAUUGCUUAGUUUUUAGACAUUCCGUUCAAUCAAAAUAUAGUAAUUGAUUAUACUUACAUUGUAAAAGUUCUAAAAAGAAAAAAAAAAAGAUGUUAUCUUCGUGUAUUCUUCCCAUCUUUCAAGUGGCCAAUCAAAAAACGAGUAGUAGAAUUGUAACCAUGUCUUGUUGCCAUUGCUAAUUUUCAGCCAUGUGAUGUAUUGUCUUUUCAUAUAAUCCCAUCCAUUUUUAAGUUGUUUUGGGGUAAUAGAUUUUCUCGUCAAUGUUUUAUAUUCCUGAGAAUUCGUAUUCCAAGCAAUAGGCGUCAAGGUUGCCUCAGAUCUAUUUUCGUUGUUUGCUUCACGCGGUGUAGAGACCAAUAAAAUAUUUCCAAUAAGUAGGAUCAGCCCAAUUCGCUCUUUCCCCUUAUGAUGACAUCUAUUAGAAAAUUCUACCAAACACAAUCAAUAGAACCAAAUUGUGGACUAUUGAUAAAACAUUACUGAGUACUUCCUAACCAUAAAGGUCUAACCCUAAUAUCACACCUUAAAGCAUGAAAACAAAUUAAGAAAAAAAGUAGAAUAAAAAAAUGAUUAUAUAACUACAUAAAAAAGCUUAAGAAUAAUAUUUUUGAUUACCAACAAGAACUUGAUGAGAGAAGCAAAGUUAGGAGGAAUUCUGUGAUUACUAAAAAAAAUUAAAGAUUGAGAUUAUUAGUGGGUAAACGUGUAUGAGUAGGUUUUGGGAUAGACAUGAAAAAUAAAUAAUAAAGUAUGGAUAUUUUUUACAUUAGAAAUUAAUUGGCUAAUUCAAAAUUUUCUAUUUAGUACAAGCCUAAAAAAAAUUGAUUUAUUUAAUUAAGUCAAAAUUAUCUGAAAAGUCUCGUUAAGUUAUAAAAUCAUUAAGUUAUAAAAACAAACACCUCUAAGUUAAAAACAAACACCCUUUAACUGUAUUAGUUUCAUUCUUAGCAAAAAUUGAUUGACAUUCAUCCUUUAACGGUAGGUUUUGUCUCUCCCAAUUUGUAACAGCUUUUGUUAAAUCAAUUUUGAAAAGUUGAGAAAGAAAAAGUUGAAGUAACUAAAGUAUGAGAAAUUGAGGAAUAGGGAGAGAAAAUGUCUGGAUCAGGGUUCAGAUCCGAAUUCUUUUGUCUUGUUAAAAAAAAUUGAGAAUAAAUCAAGAUUUUUAAAAAUAGGGCAAAUCAAUUCACGAAGAAUAAUAUGAAAUUAACCCUAAAAAAUUGAUGGGUUCAGCCCACCCAAAAAAACAAUAUCUGGAUCCUCUCCUAGGCAUUUUCUUCCUAGUCCUCUUAAACUUUUAAGAACCCAUUAACAUGUGUCAUUAAUAAAAUUAAAUGGUUAAGAUUUUAUUUUAAUUACUUUUAUUUAAAUAGACAUCCUAACUCAAAUGUGAUUAUUGACUAUUGUCAAAUUAUUUCCCUCUCAUCUCUUUCUACUUUGACAUUGACCUUGACCAAAAUGUAAAAAAAAAAAAGCACAAAUUACAAAAAGCAAUCAAUAAUGAGGUUUGCGUCCUAAUUUCAAUUUUUCAUUUGGUUAUUUUUUCUGAAUAGAGUGGACAGAAUCAUUAAUACUUUAUUAUUAAUUCUUUCAUUCAAAACUUGGCAUUGUAAAUGAUUUCACACCAACGAAUAGGACUCCAUUGAUUUGCAUCUCAUUCUUACUAAGAGCCUUUUGAGCAUCAGAACAAUUUUGAUAAAGAAUAUGCAUCUAGUUACAUCUCUAGGAUCAGGAACAUGUUUCAAGAUCACACCACACUUGUCAAAUUCUCGUAAAACCACAUUGAUAUUCUAGAGGAAAUUCAUAAACUGUAAGCAAAUUACUACAAUCUCACAAUAACUCAUAAUUAUCCAGCACUAAAUAAAUUUUUAUUACAAAUUACUAAUAGUCAAUUAUAAAAAAUAAAUAAAUAAAUAGAUAAAUUGCUCCUGUUGACAUCCAUAUCAAUUCGCAAGCUCCACCAAUUCUUUAGCCUCCUCAAUCAACCAAUCUUUAAUUAAUCUAUCUACAAGCAGUUACAAGAAGUAUAUCUACAAGCAGUUACAAGAAGUAUAUCUCCAUUAUACCAAAUUCUCAACUGUUCUAAUACUAAAUCCCAUUUUCGGUACGUAUUUCUCGUAGAAAUUAUAUGCUAAUUGCUCAGAUUGAAAUUCCAUUUCAAAUUUAGCUUCCAAAUCAAUCAAGCAUUCUAAAGGCAUAACAAUAAGACUGAAAAUAUAAAAGAUAAAUAAAGAAGACAAAACAUCAACAACAAAAAAACAAAGGAAAAAAAUUGAAAUUAAGGUGCAAAUCUUAUUUUCAAUCUCUUUUUUCUUAAUUUGUGUUUUUUUUAACAAUUUCCUAGAGAUUGUCGUCAAAGAAGAAAGAGUUUAGAGGGAAAGAAUUUGACAAUAGUCAGUAGUCAAGUGAGUUUAGAUGUUUAUUUAGAUAAAAAUUAAUUAAAAAAUUUUAACCAUUUAAUUUCAUUAAUGACACAUGUCAAUGAAAUUAUGAUCCUUAAAAAUUUAAGAGGGUUAUGAGAGAAAAUGUAAUCGAUAAAAAAAUAUGCAAGCUAAGCUAUGUGGGUUCCACUAGAAGUAGCGGUGAAAAUGACGAGUCUUGAAGACAGCCAUGAUUUUCCAUUUCAUGGUUUGCUUUCUCGGUGCCGAUAUUCUCACAACACUUUGCACAAAACGGUGCGUUUUGUGCAAAGCAUAAAAGCCACUUUUUGCUGCAAAGUUUUAACACCAAACACACACACGUGAGAGGGGAGCAACAAAACUCACGUGCAGCAAGUCUCCUUUCUUCCUCCAUUUUUCCUCAUGAGAUUGAUCCGAUCUCUCUCUCCGUCCUCCUUUCUUCCUUACGAGAGAGCUCGGGUCUCUCUCUUCGGCCUCCUUUCUCCCUCACAAGACAGCUCAAGUCUCUCUCUCCUGUCUCCACGCCGCUAAUAGUCACAGUUCCAUCCUCUCUAGCCACGCAGCAACCAUAAGAUCUCUCUCUCACCCGUUUCAAUUCAUUGUUCUAAUUGAAAUCUUUAACUCGUUUAGGACAUUGUGCUGAAUUACCUAUGGAUGGUGGUGGUCUUAUGCUUGAGUGUUGUAAAUUAGAAUCAAAUUAUGCAAAACCUGAUGCCUUUGGGAAUCAUGUUUAUUUCAAGCUUCUAUGUUGUGAUUUGAUUAUUUGAUGAAGCACCUGGAAAAUGUAGUUUGCUCCCUCAAAUUAUUUUACUCUGUUGAAUAAAUUGUAUUUGCCAUUAUUUGAAAAGAAUUUAAAAAAAAAAUUACAGCCCCGAAACAUUGAGCUUAUGCUAUAAUUUAAGCAUCUCCCUCAUUUAUAGCACAUUUAUUUUCAUAAUUUACGCGACAAUAGAGAACGGAGCAGAGACUGUUAGUGGCGUGGGGAUGAGAGAGAAAAAUAUGAGUUGUUUCGUGAGGUUUUGUGAGGUUUCGUGAGGGAGAAAGGAGAUGGGAGAGAGAGAUGCUGAGUUUUGUUGCUCCCCUCACUUGUGUGUGUUUGGUGUUAAAACUUUGCAGCAAAGAGAGGCUUUUAUACUUUGCACAAAACGCACCGUUUUGUGCAAAGUGUUGUGAGAACAUCAUUUUCCUUGCUUUCUUCAUGAAUCCUAUCUUUCAUGGCAUACUGUUAUUGGUCCUACUCUAACAAUAAGUGAAGUUGUUAGUGUGUGAUUAUCUUGUAGUAAUUGAAAACCGGACCGGUCCAGUCUAGAAAAACUUCUCUGGAUCGGCCAUUUAAAUAAAUAAAAAAAAAACAAUUUCCCUUCUGAAUAUCUUCUAUGACUUUUCAUUUGGUUCCUCAACAUUAAUUGAACAACUCUUUCCUUUGAAUUCCACGACGUCGUUUCUGCUGAUAAGUAUUUACUCUAAUUCAUCCACUUUCUACGUAGAAUUUUUUUUUAAAUAUAUGAAAUAAAUGCUUUCUAAUCGCAAGUGUGCUUCAUAUGGUUAUUUGUGUGGCAGGGACUGAAAGUGACCAGACAGAGUAUGAGGAGGUCUUCUUUAAGCUAGCAAGGUGUGUCGGCAAGUAGACAUCUCUCUGUUGGCCAUUUCUUGUCCAAUCAGUAAAGCCUUGAUAUUAACUCGGUCUUUCUUCGAAAAUCUCUUUUCUCUGAAAAGAGAAUCACGAAUGGAAGGAAAAUGGGGUCCUAUUGGCUCAGCUUCGUCACUCCCAAUUGAGUGAGUAGGUCAGUUCCGUUUUGUGUGUAUUUUGAGCAGUCUAAAAGUGUGAGCUGCAAUAGAUAAAUUGCUUCCCCAUUAAUCGUCAGGGGUUUCAGCGAGUUAAAAAUCAUAAAGUGUGGUUGGUGAAUUAAAAAGUUAUUCGUUACUUUUGUUUGAGCUACUAUGGAGACAGAAGAACUCAUUAAGAAGUGUAGGGCCAUUUCUUUAGAAGGGGAAGAAGAUGAUAAGGUUUCUUUUGUUGGAAACAUGAAACAAAAGGGGCUGAAAUUGCUGCAGGAUGUCUAGUCGGGAAGAUCCUGACCACAAGGGGAGUGAGUAUCGAAGGGCUUAGAACGGCAAUGCACCAAGCCUGGAGAACAAUACGUGGAGUGAGAAUUGAAAACCUAGGGGAGAACGUCUUCUUGUUCAAGUUUGCAUUGGAAGCUGAUAAAAGAAGAGUGUUAAUAGGGGGGCCUUGGCACUUCAAUAGAGCUUUGUUAGUACUGAUUAAGCCAACUGGAAUAGGAAAUAUUGCGAAGCAAGCCUUUACUCAUGUUUCUUUUUGGGUUCAAAUCCUAAAUGUGCCCAUCAUGGCUAUGAAUACGGACGCUAUCUCAAGAUUGGGAGCCAUUAUUGGUACAGUCGAGGAGGUGGAGACAGGCGAAAAUGGGGAAUGCAUUGGAGAGCAUGCACGAGUCAGAAUCAGAGUGGAUAUCUCAAAGCCUUUAAAGAAAAUCAUUUUCUUGGAACCAGAGGGUGAGGAGAAAAUACCAAUGCCGAUUAGGUAUGAGAGAUUACCAGACUUUUGUUUUUGCUGUGGAACCCUUGGCCAUCAAUUUAGAGAAUGUAUCAAAUAUAAAGAUCAGAAACAAGAAGAUCUUGCAUUCGGCCCAUGGAUGAGAGCAGUUACAAUGACUGAGCAGGCUAAUUCUCAUAAAGUCAAAAAUAAGUGGAAUGGAGGCAACAAUUCAAGGGAGGAGGAAUCGGCAAACCAAGAAGGCCAUGAAAAUCAACAGCAAAACCAGAAACAUCCCAACUCAGACUCAGGAAACGGGUUAGAAACAACCCGGAUUGAAGUGGGUGGAGCUACAACACCAAUGAGUAAAAGCCACAUGGCUGAGAUGGGUGCAGAAACAUUAAUGCUAGAGGGAGCAAAAUCGAUGGAACAACAAGUUGGCUGUGAUAAUCUGACCACAAUAGCUGGCAAGAAUCAGAUGUUGGGGAAUGUGGAAAAUGAAGCGGGAGGAAAGUGGAGGGAAUUGGCGAAUACAAAGGAAAGCCAAAGUUUGGGGUUAAUGGGCUUAAAAAAUAAAGCCCAAACAAUUUCAAUCGAGGGAGAAGUAACAGCCAAGAAAAAGCCCAAAUAAAAAAAUGGAAGCAUCUGGCCAGGGACAUGUGUUCUAAGGAUGAAAACAAAAUGAGUUUACUUGUAAAGAAACGGCCUAGAGGAGAAGUGGGAAAAUGGUACCCAGAAGCAAAGAAGUUAAAGAUGAGUAGUUCGGUGGAGAGGGCAGUAGCACAGGAUGGAGUGUUUUUCUUAGCAACACUUAAUGCAAGUACAAACUCAGAAGCAUCAGAUAUGGAAGAAAUGGAGGUGAUAGGGUCCACUAUCGAAGAAAUAUCGGCGGAGGCUGAGGGUCAGCCUCGCCGGGAGUCAUGAAAAUCCUCAGCUGGAACGUCCGGGGCUUGGGGAAUUCCCGAACGUCACUCAAGAAAAAUCUCCAAACACAUAGGCCGCAAAUUGUUUUCUUAUGCGAAACAAAAAUGCUACCUAUGUAGAUGAACAAUGUUCGAGUCGAAUUAAAUUUUGAGAAUUGUUUUACCGUAAGCAUGAAUGGUUUAGGAGGGGGUCUAGCAAUGUUAUGGAGCUCUGACAUAGAUGUAAAAAUAGUCUCUUACAGUCAACACCAUAUAGAUGCUGAGAUAUGUGAAGAAGGAGGAUCGAAUUGGAGAUGUACGGGGGUUUACGGACACCCAGAAAUAACUCAGAAGAGGCACACAUGGACUUUAAUGAAACGGUUAGCAAGCUUAUCUUCCUUACCAUGGUUAUGCUUUGGUGAUUUCAAUGAAAUUUUACACUUAAGUGAGAAGAAAAGAGGUAGUGCUAGGGAUGUUAAUAUGAUUUCUGGGUUUAAAGAUGCUAUUAGAGAGUGUAGCUUAGCUGAUUUGGGUUGCACAGGAAGAUUUUUCACAUGGUAAAACCAAAGAUAUGGGCCAAACUUUAUAGAAGAGAGAAUAGACAGAUUUUUAUGCAACAAGGAGUGGGGUAAUUAUUUUCAAGAAUUGGCAGCUACAAACUUAGAGUCAUGGACGUCAUAUCAUAGCCCCAUUAUGAUGGAAGUGGUUAAGAAGGGUGUAGAGCAAAUUUGUAAAAGGCAGAGUUGGCGUAGAAUCCACUAUGAGGAUAUGUGGAGCUCUUACGAUGCUUGUAAAGAGAUAGUUAAGAAUGAGUGGACUAGCCAUGGAGGGGGGACAAAUGCAAACCCAGUGCAACUUUUCAAAAAAUCAGCCACGACAUCAAUGGCUCACCUGAGAAUCUGGAGCAAAGAAGAGUUUGGGGAGAGAAAAAAGAAGCUGGAAUUAUUAGUGAAUGAGUUGCAGCUGAUCAGACAAAGCGAGAAGCCUUAUGAGUGUGGAGCUAAGAUAAAAAAGAUUGAGAAGCAAAUUGAUAACAUUCUGAUUGAUGAGGAGAUAUACUGGAAACAGAGAUCAAGAGCGGAUUGGCUGAAAGAGGGAGACAAGAACACAAAGUUUUUCCAUUCAAAAGCCUCCUCCAGAAAAAGAAAGAAUAAGAUGAGAGGAAUUGAAACUGAUCAAGGCAACUGGAUCAAGGAUGAAAGAGAAGUAGAGAAGGAGUUUUGUGACUAUUUUGAAGGGCUUUUUAAGUCUUCGAAUCCUUCUCAUGACCAACUAAAAGCUGCCCUGGCAAGUCUAGUUCCAAACGUUUCGGAUAAAAUGAAUGAAAAGCCUCAAUAGCCCUUUACCGAAGAUGAGAUAACAACAGCCUUGGCGCAGAUGUGCCCCACCAAAGCCCCUAGACCUGAUGGACUGCCAGCGGUGUUUUUUCAAAAGCAUUGGAAAAUUGUCCGUGAAAUGGUGAUCACUGCAUGCCUCCAUGUGCUCAAUGAGAAAGGUACUCUUGCUCCACUCAAUCACACAUAUAUUGCACUCAUUCCUAAAGUUGAGAAACCAAGGAAAGUGACUGAAUAUAGACCCAUAAGUCCUUGUAAUGUAAUCUACAGGUUAGUGGCAAAAACCAUUGCAAAUAGACUUAAACACUUACUCAAUACGAUCAGAUCCCCCACUCAAAGUGCUUUUAUUCCCAAUAGACUCAUCACUGACAAUGUUAUCAUUGGGUAUGAAUGUCUUCAUAAAAUUCGUCAUAGCAAAGGAAAGAAAAAUGGUUUUCUGGCUCUAAAAUUAGACAUUAGCAAAGCCUAUGAUCGAGUGGAGUGGUCUUUUGUAAAAGCUACAAUGCUUAGGCUAGGAUUUUCCUUUGGUUGGGUUGAUCUAAUUAUGAGAUGUAUUACCACCGCAUCCUUUUCAGUCCUUAUUAAUGGGGUUGCAAAAGGGUUGAUACGACCUCAAAGAGGACUUAGGCAAGGUUGUCCGUUGUCUCCAUAUCUUUUUAUUUUGUGUGCUGAGGUGUUCUCCAGCUUACUAAUGCAGGCAGAAAACCAGAAUCUUAUACAUGGAAUGAGGUUUGGGAACACCAUCACGGUAUCCCACUUGUUGUUUGCAGAUGAUAGCUUAAUUUUCAUGAGGGCCACAAUAGAUGAUUGUAAGCACCUCAAGGCACUCUUUGACUGUUACAGCAUGGCUUCGGGACAACUUUUCAACCUAGACAAACCCUCAAUGUUUUUCAGUGGCAAGAACAAAGCUGAUCAAGUGGCUGCCAUUAAAGAAAUCUUUCAGUUGAAGGUCGUUUCCAGGCACGAAAAAUAUCUAGGGCUGCCAUCCAUGGUUGGAAGAAACAAAAGGAAUUUUUUUGAUGAUUUAAAGCUCAGAGUGAAGAGUAAGAUUUCAAAUUGGCAACACAAACACUUCUCUAGUGGUGGUAAAGAGGUCCUCAUCAAAGCAAUAGCCCAAGCUAUUCCAACUUAUGCCAUGAGCGUGUUCAAAAUUCCCUUGGGGUUGUGUGAAGAUGUGCAGAAAAUUAUUGCUAGAUUUUGGUGGGGAUCUAAGGAUGAUAAGAGAGGCAUUCAUUGGGCUAAGUGGGAGAGGAUAAGUAAAGCAAAAUGCAGAGGUGGAAUGGGAUUCAAGGAGUUCUCGUGCUUCAAUCAUGCUCUAGUAGCCAAACAAGGAUGGAGGAUUUUGCAGUUUCCAGAUUCUUUAGCAGCCCGAGUUUUGCAAGCAAGAUACUUCAAGCAAUCUGACUUCUUGCAGGCAAAACUGGGGUCAAAUCCUUCGUAUAUCUGGAAAAGUAUUUUGUGGGGGAGAACUGUAAUCCAAAAGGGACAUUAGCAAAGCCUAUGAUCGAGUGGAGUGGUCUUUUGUAAAAGCUACAAUGCUUAGGCUAGGAUUUUCCUCUGGUUGGGUUGAUCUAAUUAUGAGAUGUAUUACCACCGCAUCCUUUUCAGUCCUUAUUAAUGGGGUUGCAAAAGGGUUGAUACGACCUCAAAGAGGACUUAGGCAAGGUUGUCCGUUGUCUCCAUAUCUUUUUAUUUUGUGUGCUGAGGUGUUCUCCAGCUUACUAAUGCAGGCAGAAAACCAGAAUCUUAUACAUGGAGUGAGUUUUGGAAACACCAUCACGGUAUCCCACUUGUUGUUUGCAGAUGAUAGCUUAAUUUUCAUGAGGGCCACAAUAGAUGAUUGUAAGCACCUCAAGGCACUCUUUGACUGUUACAGCAUGGCUUCGGGACAACUUUUCAACCUAGACAAACCCUCAAUGUUUUUCAGUGGCAAGAACAAAGCUGAUCAAGUGGCUGCCAUUAAAGAAAUCUUUCAGUUGAAGGUCGUUUCCAGGCACGAAAAAUAUCUAGGGCUGCCAUCCAUGGUUGGAAGAAACAAAAGGAAUUUUUUUGAUGAUUUAAAGCUCAGAGUGAAGAGUAAGAUUUCAAAUUGGCAGCACAAACACUUCUCUAGUGGUGGUAAAGAGGUCCUCAUCAAAGCAAUAGCCCAAGCUAUUCCAACUUAUGCCAUGAGCGUGUUCAAAAUUCCCUUGGGGUUGUGUGAAGAUGUGCAGAAAAUUAUUGCUAGAUUUUGGUGGGGAUCUAAGGAUGAUAAGAGAGGCAUCCAUUAGGCUAAGUGGGAGAGGAUAAGUAAAGCAAAAUGCAGAGGUGGAAUGGGAUUCAAGGAGUUCUCGUGCUUCAAUCAUGCUCUAGUAGCCAAACAAGGAUGGAGGAUUUUGUAGUUUCCAGAUUCUUUAGCAGCCCGAGUUUUGCAAGCAAGAUACUUCAAGCAAUCUGACUUCUUGCAAGCAAAACUGGGGUCAAAUCCUUCGUAUAUCUGGAAAAGUAUUUUGUAGGGGAGAAUUGUAAUCCAAAAGGGCAACAGAUGGAGGAUUGGUUCAGGGAACAACGUGCAAGUUCACAACAGCAACUGGAUCCCAAGACCAGAAACAUUCAGACCAAUCUCCUCUCCAACCAUCCCAAAUGAGGCUGUGGUAUCUAAGUUGAUUGAUUCUAACCAAAACUGGAAUGUGAUUAAAGUGUUCCAACAUUUUAUAAAGGAAGAUGCAGAAUUAAUUACUAGCAUUCCUCUUCCGCGAAGACCAAAGCCAGAUCAGAUUAUGUGGCAUUAUGAUAAGCAAGGCAAUUAUACUGUCAAAAGUGGAUAUCGGAUUGCUCAGCAAAUAAAAUUCCAGGACUCCCCUAGUUGCUCAGUUACGGAUCCAAGUAUAUGGAAGGCUAUCUGGACUUGUUUGCUGCCUGAAAAAAUUAAAAUCUUCAUGUGGAGAGCUGUCCGGAAUUUGUUGCCAUCAGCUGAGAAUCUUUGGAGCAAAAAAGUGAUCUCAGAUCCUACUUAUCAACUGUGUAAAAAGACUAUGGAAAGCAUUUCUCAUACCUUGGUGGAUUGCAAAAUGGCCAGGAAGGUAUGGAAAAUGGUCUCUUGUGCGGAUAAGGUCUACACAUUUGCAGAGCAAAGUAUGUCGUAUGUGCUGGAAGGUAUGACAGAAAUGCUAAAUCGAACAGAUUUUGAAUUGUUGGUGGCUUGUUUUUGGUCAAUUUGGCAUGCAAGGAACCUUUUUCUUUUCGAAGGAAAGAAGGUGGACCCUCUGGUUUCCAUGGCAAAAGCUGAGGCAGUGUUGGACUCAUAUAAACGAGUCAAAAUUCCCAGCUCAUCACACUUGGAGAGCAAGAUAACUGUUAAGCAGCAGCGGUGGAAACCACCCCCACAAGGAUGGAUUAAAAUUAAUGUAAAUGCAGCCACAAAGAUUGAGAAACAAGUUGCAGGAUUGGGAAUUGUCCUAAGAGACUUUAAUGGGAGUGUGGUUGCUGCUGCAGUAAAGCCAUCUAAGUUUUAUGGAGAUAUAAUCUUUGCUGAGGCAGAGGCUAUAGAAUGGGGUCUGCAGGUUGCAAGAUCUAUUACUAUGGCUUCGAUCAUAGUGGAAAUUGAUUCUCAAGGUGUUUCGGAUCUGCUCAACAACAAGAAGAGUAAUAGAUUUGAAGUCUUCUGGGUGAUAUCGGAAAUUCAAGAGCUAGUCAAAGAUUUUUGUAAUGUUAAAGUCCAAUAUACUCCAAGACAUUGUAAUUCCAUUGCACACUCUUUAGCUCGAUUAGCUCUAGGUUGUGAGGAGUCUGUCAUAUGGGAGAACCCAUUUCCAGAAAAUAUCUGGUAUUUGUUCCAGUCUUCUAAUGAAUGAAAGUUAUGAUUCCUUUUCAAAAAAAAAAAAGAAUUUUGUAUUAGUUCUAGUGCGUUGACCUAAAUGCUAUUCUAUAUUUUAGUGCCUUAAUUCUAGAACCUUGGCUCCUGCCAGAGCAUGCGGAGAUAAUGGUAGGGAGAGUGUUUGUGUAUUUUAACCAUGAUAAAGCUAAUGUUCCCAAUGAUUUCUGCUGGUGAGACUUGUGAAGAGGGUGAAUGAGGCAACUGCUAAUAUUCCUGGGUGGGAUACAGUAACUAGAGGCUGAGAUCAGGUGGUGGAAUUUUUUGUUUGAUCGAUGAUACCAGAAUUGUCCACAAAAAGUUUGUUGAUACAAAUUACAGGUGAUAGAAAGAGGUAUAGGUGGAGAAGAGAAAUCUGCGAGUCAAAUUAGGGAUAAUUGAUUUGCUGAUGCAAGUUACAUUGAAUAAUAAUAAUAACAAUUGCAUGAAGAUCCCUUAUUAAUCUUGUGUUCUCCUAUCUUUUACAUUCAGCUGGUAUACUUAAGCCUUGCUUGUGGAAUGUUUUAACCUUUAAAUUCACUACCCCUGGAUGUUGGAUUUUCUAGAACUUCAAAAUGAUUAAUGGAGAAAGAUCCCAUUAUCGAUAUCGCUAUAAGAAAUUUUAUUUAUACUUCCAAAGAUACAUUAUAUAUUUAUGUGUAUCUCUUUAUACAUGACAUUUAAGCAUCCAUAAACUGUCAGACAGAGGAAGGGGGUUGAGUGUAAAGAUUCUGUUGACCUAGGGGUUGCCUGCUUAAUGUCACUUGUUAGUGAUCUAUUAUUUAUUUCAUAUUUUGAAGAAUUUAAAGGGCAAUCCUGCUUGUUUGUGUUGUUAUCUCCUUCUAACUUACGGUCGUACCUAAAGAGCAUAGUUUCAUAUGUGUUACCCUGAGAUGUACAGAAUUUCACAUUUGCCUCAGAUUAAGCUUAAUUUCCCACAGAAUAGAGCUGUUGUGACUGAACUUAGGUUGAUGUCAAAAGAGGUAAAUUAUUGGCAUGCCUAGAUAAUUUGACCAUUUCCUAAUUCAUAAGUCUACAUUAAUUUUGAUUUUGAGUUGACUGAUUUCUUUUCAAGGUCUGCUUACUUAACGGAGUGACCAAUGUUUUUCAACUAAAUUUAUCAUAUGAUGCAGGAAGCAGGGCAGGAUAUGAAAUGAGAAGCUCAUUGGUGGAAGUAUUGCCUGUAACAGAACCCAAAGAAAAUGAAACUAUUUCAAGGCAGCAGUUGGCAGUUGCAAGUGAAUGGAGGCCCUUGCCAAAAUUCUCAAGCGGUUGCAAUGCAAUUACGAUCAUCCUCAGCCUCAGGUAAUUUCUUCUCCUGCUUUGUUUUUAUUUGUUCUCUAAUUAGGAAGCAUAAAGUAUCUUGAAUCAUUUUCUGUAUCUGGAAUAUAUGCAAGAGUUUCUAAAAUUUUGAUAUGAGUGUAAUGAUGGUAAUUUCUGUUUUCUGUCUGUCAUCAAAUGUUAGAAAACUUUCAUUGAGACCCUUGAACCGAGUCAUUUUUGACAAGUGAAGUGCUGAAGAGUGAGGAGUAAGAAUGGUGCUAGAUUGGGGAAUAAAGCAAAAGGAGGUAAAUUAUUGGCAGCUUCUUCAGCCUUAUUUUCUUUGGACCAGUGCCUAAUUCACAAGUCUCCGUAAUUUGGCUUUUGACCAGUUGAUAGAUAAAAUUUUAAUUUCAUUGGUGCUAAUGUACCCGUGAAGCAGGCAGAGAAGGACUGUGGAAAAGAGAAGGUUUUUAGUGAAAGCUUAAACUCAGGUAAUUCUAAAAAGUACAUGUUUUUGCUGAUUUAUCUAAAUCAGGAAAUUUUAUUUCCAUCUGUUACAAUAAAACAGAAACAGAACACAAAGAAAAAUAGUCUACCUCUUGUGGCAAUCUUGCCUUCAUUCAGACUAUGAAACCAUUUCCUUUCACCAAUUUCUUCCAAAAGUUUGAACACGUUUCAUGGUUGGACAUAGUUAGCUUCUUUCUCUUUUGGUGCAUUUAGGUGCUAUCAAGUGACAGCCAUAAGUAUGAUUGCAUUAUUGGGAAAUUUUAGGUUUUGAUGGCUCCCCAUAGCAGAGCCUUGGUAUUAAGCUUGCACGGCUCAGCAGAGAUGCCUCUGCAGCUCUAAGUUCCCCCUAUAUGAUAUAAAAAUGCUAAACAUUUGAAGCGAAAAUUACAGCAUUCCAGAGCUUGUCCUUGCUCCUCAAAUAACUUAAAUCUUUCUGAACUUCUCAAGGCGCAGCGCGCCACUUAAACUUGCAUUGAAAAAAUGUGGAGAUUGAAUUGAUGGGGGUUACAGGAAAGUUUAAUGAUCUGCAAAAAGUUAAAAAAUACUUCCGUUUAGAGGUAUAAAAGAAUGACACACUUUGCUGAGUUUCAGUACCAACAUUCUAACAUUUAUUAUUCAAUUAAAAAUAAAUAAUUAAAAGAAUAUAAGGAAAGGAAAUAUAACCCUAAAGGGAUUUAAUUUGCUUAUUAGAUUACUUUAUUGUCAUAUUUAUCUCUUGUGCCCUAAAUUCCUUUGUGCAUUAAAUUUGAUUACCAUAAGGAGCAUAGUCGAUGAUGAGUGAUAGUAUUCAUAUUGCAGAUCCUUGAGAAGGAGCAGGAAAUUGGAAAAUGCUGAGGAAGAUGUAGAUUAUAAAGCCCUCGAAGAUGGAUUUGUGAGUUGAUAUAUUCGUCAAUUACAAUUUCUUCAUCAACCUCCUCUACCAACUGUCUGGUUAUUAUUUUAGUCUUCUUGCUUGACAGGUUGCUAUUACUCCUGUCUCAUUAUCUUCAACAUUGUAGUCAGAGAUUCAAACAUUAGUUUCAAACUGGAAGGCAGUUACAAUUGGUAGGGGAAGAGUAAUGUUUCCUUUCUUGCGAGCAAACAUUAAUCAAGUUGCUGUUUAGGCAGACUUAUGUAACCACUAUGAAACCGGAUACUUGGCAUUUCUUGCCAUUGAUUUCUGUAAUGUACAGGUUUUAUGCCCAUGUUAAUUUAGUGCAGGCAAGCUAUUUUUAUUCUGCUUGUCUCUUCCUAUCUUGCCCUUGAACUUGGAAACGUUGUAAGUUGGCUAGUUCGAGGAAGCCAAUCCCUUCCAAGUAAAACACAAGUAUUUAUUUGAUUAAAUGAUUCAUGCUUUUAUUAAUCAACCAUGGCUUAUUUAUGCAAGCUAAACAAAAUAGAAACAUGAACAAAAUAAUCCCAACAAAUCAGGAACUGGAGACUAAGGCUCCGUUUGGUACAUCUUAUUAAAUAGAGCUUAUAACAGUAGAGCUUAUAGCAGUAGAGCUUAUACCAAUAGAGCUUUUGAACAAAAAGUCAUUAGGUGUUUGGUUGUCAAUAAAAAAAGUACUUUUGAACCAUUAAACUGUGUGAUAUUUUUUAUAUUAUAUAUUUUUAGAAAAGCUCUCUAACCUCUACUCCCAAAAGCUCGAAAUUUGGGCUUUUGCUAGUAGAGAUAAAUUAGCUUAUUUAAGCUAAAAAAACUCUACUAAAAAAAUAACCAAACACCAUAAAAAAUUUUAAAAAGUGCUUAUACGAUUAAAUAAGCACUUAUGGCUCUUAAAUAAGCCAUAACAAACAGACACUAAGUUGAUAAUAUCUCAACUAACUUGGAUUUAUUCAACUUUACUACUACUUUAUUCAAUUGGACCGAACAUGAUCAUUAACUCAAUAAGCAUAUCAACUCUCUCCCCCUUAAAAUUCUCCUUUGUCCUCAAAGGUGAUGUCUGGAAAUUGUUCCGUGAUAAAAUUUCAAUCUUCCCAAGUUGCAUCAGCUGGAGACAUCCCUUACCAGUGGACAAGAAACUCUUGCUUCUUCUUGUGGAUUCAACAAUCAAGUAUUGCUUGCGGCAUAGGCAUAAUUUUCUCUUCGCUAAGUAUCGUUUUUGGCAAUGGGUGCUGCACCUUUAUAUGCUCUCCAAUCUUCUUCUUAAGGAGUGAAACAUGAAAAACGGGGUGAAUGCAAGAAACCAAGGCAAUUCUAGCUUGUAGGCUACUGCUCCAAUUCGUUGUAAUACUUUAUAGAAGCCAUAAUACUUGGAAGCUAAUUUAGAAUUUUUCCUCAUAGAUACUGAGAGUUGUCAAUAAGGCUACAGCUUCAGAUACACCAUAUCUCCAACAGAAAGCUCUCUCUCCUUGUGCUUCGAUUCAAACGGUGUUUUCCGAAUUGAUGAAUGAUAGCUAGUAUCGUAACAAAAUUUUGCCCAUGUCAGCCAUUUUACCCAAUUGGACAUGAACUCGAAAAGCAUCUUAAAUACAUCUCGAGCGUACGGUUAACCACUUCACUCUGCUUAUCUGUUUGAGGAUGAUAGGCGGAACUAUAGUUGAAAGAGGUACCUUGAAGCUGAAAUAGUUCCCGCUAGAAUGUAUCACACACAAUAGAAUGAGGCAUACCAUGAAACUGGAAUACUUAAUCGAAGAAAACACGGGCAAUACUCUCAGCAGUAUAAUGAUGAGGAAUGGCAAUAAAAUGUGCAUAUUUUGACAACCGGUCUACAACAACUAGUAUAGUAGAUUUACCAUGAGAAUGUGGCAGCCCCUCAAUGAAGUCCAUGGCUAUAUCCUCUCAUAUUUGAGCUGGUACUGGAAGUGGCUGUAAAGUCCCGCAGGCAUCAAUUGCUCAACCUUAUUUUGCUGACAAACAUUGCAAUUUCUGAUGAAGGAUUUGAUUCUAUUUCGCAUUCCCUUCCAAUAGAAAUUUGCACGAACUCGGUGGAAAGUCUUCAAAAAACCUUCAUGUGUGCUGUUGUGAAAUUGCUCAAUGAUGUCAAGAAUGAGAGUUGAAUCUUCUUCUAAAUACAUUUUUUCCUUAAAAAAUAAGACCCCAUCCUGCAACUUCCAUAGACCUAUGACCUCACCAUUCUUGACCCUCUGCAAUAGUUCUCGGAGAGAAAUUUUAGAUUGUAUUUCUUCUUUGACAGCUUCAACCCAAUUAGGUAGCAGUUUAGAGAUAUCAUGAUUUUCCCUUGAAACUUCCUCCUUCUUGUCUGUUCUUGAAAGUGCGUCAGCUACUAUAUUGUCCUUUCUGCGUUUGUACUCAACUAUAAAAUCAAAUCCCAUUAAUUUAUAAAGUCAUGUUUGCUGUGCUCUGGUGGUAAUCUGUUGAGAGUAGAGAUGCUUAAGGCUCCGAUGGUCAGUACGAACUAUAAACUGCCUACCAAGCAAAUAAGGCCACCAUUUUUGUACCGCCAAGACAAGUGCUAGUAUUUCUUUUUCAUAAGUGGACAACAACAAAUUGUUCCCUUAGAGUGCCAAACUAUAAAAGGCUAUGGGUCUUUCUUGCAGCAACACAGCUCCUAUUCCGGACCCGAAAGCAUCGCAUUCAAUAAUGAAUUUCUUUGUGAAAUCUGGUAGCACCAAUAUUGGUGCUUGUGUCAUACCUUUCUUUAGCCUCUCAAAUGCUUCUUCAGCUGGCAGAUCCCAUUGGAAUGAAUUUUUCUUCAACAUCCUUGUUAGUGGUCCAGCUAUCUUUUCGUAAUUUUAUAUAAACUUACGGUAAUAGCCAGUUAAUCCUAGAAAUCCACGAAGAGCUUUAAGUGUUUAAGGUUUUGGCCAACUGAACAUUGCUUCUAUCUUCUCAGAAUCAACAGUCACACCUGCAUUUGAUAUUACAUGGCCUAGGUACUUGACUUGUUCUUGGCCAAAGCUACACUUUUCCAUCUUUACAUAUAAACAGUGAGGUCGUAAAAUAGAAAAUACAAUCUUUAAAUGCUCAACAUGAUCAACCUAUGAAUUGCUGUAUAAUAAGAUAUCAUCAAAGAAAACUAAAAUAAAUUUUCUUGAGUGAGCUUUAAAUACCUCAUUCAUGAGGGACUGAAAUGUUGAUGGAGCAUUUGUGAGACUGAACGGCAUUACCAAGAACUUGUAGUGGCCCUCGUGAGUUUUAAAUGCGGUCUUUUCGACGUCAUCAGGAUGAACUCUGAUUUGAUGAUAUCUGGAUCGAAGAUCUAGAUUUGAGAAAACUUUUGCACUAUGAUUCAUCCAGAGUUCUUCAAUAACUGGAAUCAGAAAUUUAUCUUUGAUAGUAACUCGAUUCAAGGCCCUAUAAUCAACACAAAAACGCCAAGACCCAUCUUGUUUCUUCACUAAGAUAACCUGUGAAGAGUAAUGAUAGGUCCCAAUCACAGCAGCAGAAAAUAUAAUAAAUACUCACUUUCUUUGGGUGAAAGAUAAACCACACAAUUAUUUGCAGGAUAAUUCUCGUACCUUUAUUCAUUGCUAACGUUCCAAUAAAUAGAGUUAAGCUUAACAGAUCAGCUUCAACUCAGGAAACUAACUAGCCAAAAUUCAAGGAAAUAAGUUGUAACAACUUUGAAUGAGUAGAAAUACUAAACAUCAGAAAAUAAAAUAAAAAGCUUUUACUGCUGCUAUUUACUGGUUUAGACUUGGUCUAACACAAGCUAAAAACUUGGGAUUCUUCUUAGGAGUUCGCUGAGAUCUUCUUGGCCUAUCAAUACUUCCCCCGCCAAUUGGAUCCUUGUCCUCAAGGUCCAGAUAAGGAAACUGAUUACGCAGCAGUGAUGAGUCUUCCCAUGUAGCAUCUUCUUUGGGCAACUGCUUCCACUUUACCAAGCUCUCCUCGAUGAAUUUAUUGCCUUGCUUAAUCCAGCGUGUAUCGAGGAUAGUCUCUGGUUCUACGGAAGCCACACCUUCAUCAGUAAUAGGUGAAAGCUCUAAAGUAACUUGUGGAGGACCCCCAACAUAUUUCUUCAAGAGAGAGACAUGAAAAACAUGGUGAAUUUUGGUGCCUACUGGUAGGUGUAAUUGGUAAGCAACAUUACCGAUCUUCUUCUCGAUUUGAUAAGGGCCAUAGAACUUGCUAGCAAGUUUUUGAUGAACACGUUUGAAGGCAGUUUGUUGGCGAUAAGGAUGAAGCCUGAGAAGGACCAUCUCACCUACUUGAAACUCCACAUUUCGCCUCUUUUUGUCUGCUGUUUGUUUCAUCCUAUUGGCUGCCAUGUCCAAAUUCUUCUUCAAGUGCUGGAGCAAUUCAUCCCGCUGUAAGAGGUUUUGAUCAACUUCAUUAACCCGAGAUAACCCAUCAAAAUAAAGUAGAAUGGAGGGAGGAAGCCGACCAUACAAGGCUUGGAAAGGUGUCAUCCCCGUUGAACUGUGGUAUGUGGUAUUAUACCAUAAUUCUGCCCAAGGUAAAUAACUAUACCAUUUUCGUGGCCAUUGAUGGACGAAACAGCGGAGGUAUUGUUCAACACAGCGGUUCAUAACUUCGGUUUGUCCGUCGGUCUGCGGGUGGUAAGCGGAGCUCAAUUUCAACUUGGUUCCUGACAUAGUAAAGAACUCUUGCCAGAACUUGCUGAUAAAGAUGGGGUCGCGGUCACUAAUGAUUGAGUUCGGCAUGCCAUGGAGUUUGAUGAUGUGCUCUACAAAUUGUUCAGCUACAAUCUUUGCAGAAAAUGGAUGAGAUAAGGCAACAAAAUGAGCAUACUUACUUAGUCGAUCUACGACCACCAAAAUACUAUCCUUGCCGUGGGAGGAGGGAAGACCUUCAAUAAAAUCUAGACUAAUAUCAUCCCACACUUGACAGGGAAUGGGAAGUGGCUGAAGUAAUCCCGCUAGGGCCAGAGUUUCAGUUUUUGUUUUUUGGCAAACUUCACAUUGCGUAAUGUAGUCUUGGACGGGCCGGUACAUGGACGGCCAAUAAAAUUGUUGAGCUAACCUUUUGAAUGUCCUCAAUACACCAGAAUGCCCUGCCAUUUUGUUGUCAUGAAAUUCUUGUAGCAGCUGGUUGCGGAUAACUUGCGGAACAAUUACUCGUGUUUUGUAGAAGCAGAGACCAUUACGCAUUGAGUAUGGACCAGUGGGAUCUAUAGUGGAUUGGCGGCUCACUUGCUGCAUAUAAGGAUCAUCUUAUGCUGCCGUUCUCAUGUCAUCCCAAAGGGUAACCUGUGAAACAAACAAAGGAUUAAGGAGAGGGCUGUCAGGGCGGCGAGAGAGGGCAUCAGCUGCUGAAUUUUCACGUCCUGGCCGGUAAAGAAUUUCGUAGUCAUAGCCUAAAAGCUUUGCUACCUAUUUUUGUUGCUCAGGAGUGGCCACACGUUGAUCCAAAAAAUAUUUGAGACUCCGAUGAUCGGUCCGAAUGAAGAAUUUCCUGCCCAAAAGAUAUGGCCGCCAAGUCUGAAUUGCUUCUACAAUUGCGAGCAUUUCCUUAGCGUAGAUGGACCAUGCUCGUUUACUAAUUCCCAAGGCGCGACUCAUAAAUGCAAUUGGCUGACCCUGCUGAGUAAGGACAGCACCGAUUCCAUCACCUGAAGCAUCAGUUUCAACAAUAAAAGAGUCAUUGAAAUUUGGCAUGGCUAAAGUUGGGGUAGUUGUCAUGGCUUGCUUGAGCAGCUUGAAUGCACUUGCUGCUUCUUCAGUCUACUGAAAGCUUCCCUUUUUAAAGAGAUUGGUAAGGGGGCGAGCCAAAAGUCCAUAGUUCUGAACAAAUUUCCGGUAAUAACCUGUCAAGCCUAAAAAACCACGCAAUUCAGUAAUAUUAGCAGGUUGGGGCCAAGCUACCAUGGCCUCAAUUUUGUUGUUGUCUACCUUUACCCCUUGAUGCGUCACAAUAUGGCCCAAAUACUCCAGUUCUUGUUUGCCAAAGUCACACUUGCUUCCUUUGAUGAAAAACUGAUGUUGUCUCAGGAUGUCUAAUGUGGUUCUGACAUGUUCUAUAUGUAAUUCCCAGGUAGGACUAUAAACAAGAAUAUCAUCAAAAAAGACUAGUAUGAACUUGCGAAGAUGAGGAUGGAAUAUCGAAUUCAUAAUGGCUUGGAAGGUGGAAGGGGCAUUGCAUAGACCAAAAGGCAUAACUAGAUACUCAAAAUGGCCAUUAUAGGUUCUAAAUGCAGUUUUUGGAAUAUCGGAAGCAUGUACUCGUACCUGAUGAUAUCCAGCUCUCAAGUCUAGUUUGGUGAAAUAGGCUGCCCCAUACAACUCAUCUAGCAUAUCAUCUACCGUGGGGAUAGGAAACCGGUCUUUGAUGGUGGCUGCAUUUAGUACCCGAUAAUCUGUGCAAAAUCGCCAAGUACCAUCUUUUUUCUUCACCAACAAAACGGGCGAUGAGAAUGGACUGGUGCUGGGUCGAAUGAUUCCCAUGUUGAGCAUCUCGUGGACCUGUUUUUCGAUCUCUGCUUUUUGAAAAUAUGCAUAUCUAUAGGGCCGAACAUUGAUGGGUUGAGUACCUUCUUUGAGGGGAAUGUGAUGGUCGAUAUCUCUUAAGGGUGGUAGCGUGGUUGGUUCCUUGAACACAUCUGCAUAGUCCUUCAAUGUCUGCUGCAUAUUAGGACUGAUGUCUGCCCAGGUGGACCUCUCGGCAUUGUGCAGGUAGAUAGCAAACAUCAUUUGGCCUUGGCGCAUCUCUUUCGCAACCGAUGUCAAUGAUGUAGCUUGAAUGGUUUGGUUAAUUCCUUGUAACCUCCGUGCUUGAUUAUCCCAGUGGAAGUCCAUGGUUAAUUGUUUCCAAUUGCAGACCAUAGAACCUAGCAUCUCUAGCCAUUGGAUGCCUAACACUAUAUCAAGUCCUGCUAGGGGUAGAGAAUAGAGGGUGAGUGAAAAAGUAAUGCCUUGUAAAUUCACUUGUACCUCUUCAAAGCGACCUUGGCAGGUUAAUCGUUCCCCAUUUGCUACGCGGACUGCAAACGAUUUCGUUGGUAUCACUGGAAGUCGAAUCAAUCUAGCUACUCUCUCACUCAAGAAAUUGUGAGUAGAUCCACUGUCAAUCAACACCAUCACGUGUUGAGACCCAAUAGUAGCUGUUACUCGCAUGGUUUGAGGGGAUGUCCAGCCUGUAAGUGCAUGUAAUGAGAUUUCUGGUUCGACUUGAUCUUCUGGAGUUUCUGCCCUCUGCAACUCUCUGUCUUCCAUCUCAUAUUCUUUGGUUUGGUUGCUGCUUGGGCACUCAAGAAGGAGUAGUUGAGGUCCUUGACACUUGUGUCUGGGGGUGAAUUUCUCGUUGCAGUUGAAACAAAGACCUUGUGUUCUCCGUUUCUGCAUUUCGUCCCAACUCAACCUCUUGGGUGUGGCUGUUGGGUUAGAACGAUUCAUUGUGGUGCUGGUGGUAGGUACACGGUUCAGAAGUGGAGGUCGCGUGAACCUCUUUGUUCUGGCAAUCUGCUCAUCCCUCAUUCUUGAUAGGCUGAUGGCUUCCUUCAAUGUUUUGGGCUUGAACAUUCGAAUUCCAUCGGCAAUUUCGGGUUUCAAUCCUCCCAUGAAAGUGCCAACGAGAGCCUUCUGUGUCCAUCCGUGAACUCGAUUGACAAGCCUCUCAAACUCUUUUUGGUAAUCACGAAGGGAUCCAACCUGUCGAACUCUAGACAGAGCUUCAUCAAAAUCUUCACACUCUGUUGGUCCAAAACGAGCCCAUAAUUCCUCUUCAAAGAACUCCCAGGUCACUGAGCGGCCUUCCUCCUGGUAAGUCCGACGCAUCCAUUGCCACCAUUGAUUAGCUUCUCCUUCAAGGUGGAAAGAUGCUAGAGUUACCUUCUGAUUAUCUGCUAUGCCUUGAAAUUCAAAGAAUUGAGCUACUCUACUAAGCCAUUCAGUGGGAUCUUCUCCAGAGUAUUUUGGAAACUCCAACCUUGCCAUCUUGGAAUAGAAAAUCUGUCUGCCGCCGUUAUUCUCCUCUCGAUGUGAACGGAAAGAUCAUUCUCGCCCAUGGUUGUUGUUGCUAGAGGCUUCUCUGGUUGAAAGAAAAGCUUCUGAAAGUUUGUUGAUGGUUUCCUCCAAAUGGUGCAGCUUAUCAGUUACGCCUAACUCCAAUUGAUGCAUUCCAUCUUGAACUCCAUCGAGUCCAGCCUCCAAAGCCUCAAUCCUCUCUUUGUUGGAUGCCAUUAUAACCUGCUCUGAUACCAAUGAUAGGUCCCAAUCACAGCAGCAGAAAAUAUAAUAAAUACUCACUUUCUUUGGGUGAAAGAUAAACCACACAAUUAUUUACAGGAUAAUUCUCGUACCUUUAUUCAUUGCUAACGUUCCAAUAAAUAGAGUUAAGCUUAACAGAUCAGCUUCAACUCAGGAAACUAACUAGCCAAAAUUCAAGGAAAUAAGUUGUAACAACUUUGAAUGAGUAGAAAUACUAAACAUCAGAAAAUAAAAUAAAAAGCUUUUGCUGCUGCUAUUUACUGGUAUAGACUUAGACUUGGUCUAACACAAGCUAAAAACUUGGGAUUCUUCUUAGGAGUUCGCUGAGAUCUUCUUGGCCUAUCAAGUAAGGACUGGCACUUGAUCGAAUGACACCUGAUCUCAACAUCUCAGCUACCAUUUUCUCUAUUUCUGCUUUCUGAAAAUAGGGGUAACGAUAUGGCUUUACCGAUACUGGUCCUUAGUUAGGUUGCAGUGGUAUCCUGUGAUCAUGGGCACUGCCUUGGAGGAAGGUCUUUAGGUUCCGAAAAUACAUAUCUGUAAGUGCUUAAAAUUUAUUGCACUUGUUUCGGCACUGGAAGGGUUUCAUUUUAAGUGUUGGAAACAUUUAGCUGUAGUAAAAAACCUUCUUUCUUUUUCCUCAUCGCUUGUUGACAUUGAAGGUGACCCACCAAUUUAUUUUGUGGAGUAGAUAGACCCUGCAACACCAUGUCCUUCCCACUUACCUUAAACUUACCAGCUUAGAAAAAUCCCAUUCAAUAGGACCCAAUGUACUUAGCCACUGAGUGCCUAAAACAACAUCAUAGCCUUCAAGGGGUAACAAAUAAAAAUCCACAAUUAAUGGAACUCCUUGUAAUUUAAUUGGAGUUUGCGGACAUGUACCUAGGCUACUCAAUCUUUCACCGGAUGCCACCAUCACAUUGAGCUGCUUGAUUGGUAUUGGUUGUAGCCCCACCCUUUCGGCUGGCUCUUGUCGGACAAAAUUGUGGGUGCUUCCAGAGUCAAUAAGUAUUGUCACCACCUUUUGCACCAGCCUUCCCAUAACUCCCAUCAUUUCGGGAGUUUGAGUUCCAACCAUGGCAUGGAAAGAAAUUUCAGUUGCUGUCUCAGUUUGUUCAACAGCCUCAUCUCCCUCAAUCUCCAUCUCGACAUUUUCAUUACUAUCUUCAAAGCUUGCUUGAAUUAGGAACAACAUUUUGCAACGAUGGCCAGGGCUGAAUUUUUUAUUGCAUUUGAAGCUAAGCCUUUCUUUUUCGGCUCGUUUAACUCUUCAAUUGUCAUCUUUUUCAUUGGCACACGAGGCAAGCUUGUGGGUGCCACACUAUGAGAUUGAGAACCCUUUUUACAUCAACAGAGGAUUUGCGUCUAGAGAAUUCUCUUGCUUCAUAUAACCGAGCCAACCCGAUAGCCGAAGUCAAGCUGUCUGGUCGAUUGGUUUGUACAUCAAUACGAAUUGAUUCACACAAACCACUAAUAAAACAGCUCACUUGGCGUGCUUGAGAUAGAUGUUCGACUUUAGCUAACAAUUUCUCAAACUUACUUUGAUAUUCCUCUACACUUCCAGAUUGUUGUAACUUGGUUAGCUCUCCAAAGAAAUCAAGAAAUUUGUUAGGACCAUACCUUGAGUGAAGCCAUUCUUUAAAUUCAUUCCAAGAUAUGUAAACCGCUUCUUGUUUCAGUAGUUGGUACCAUAGUUGUGCAUCGCUCUCCAAGUGAAAUGAAGCUAAAGAAACUUGAUCGGCAGUAGGAGUUUCAUAGAUUUUAAAGAACUGUUCAGCUCUGCAUAACUAGCUUGUUGGAUCCGCCCUACCAUCAAAUCUUGGAAAGUCUAAUUUUACUAGUUUUAGUGCAUAGCAAUGGCUGGAACUAGCUUGAGGUGUGUUAUCGUUGCCGUUGCUAUGUCCUCUUUGGACUCGCUGAGGAGUCGAAGAAUCUUCUGCCUUAUCAUUAGCUGCUUGACUUGAUAUUUGAUCUAUCCGUGCAUUCAGCCUUUCAAACAUUAAGCUAAUUUGGCUGAGGAUUUCAUUUUGGCUAGUGGUUAGUGACUCAAUACUCUUUUCAAUAUUCUCCACUCUUUGAUCCAUAGCCAGGCUCUGAUACCACUUUGGUACAAGCAAGCUAUUUUUAUUCUGCUUGUCUCUUCCUAUCUUGCCCUUGCACUUGGAAACGUUGUAAGUUGGCUAGUUCGAGGAAGCCAAUCCCUCCCAGGUAAAACACAAGUAUUUCUUUGAUUACAUGAUUCAUGCUUUUAUUAAUCAACCAUGGCUUAUUUAUACAAGCUAAACAAAACAGAAACUUGAUUACUUGAACAAAAUAAUCCCAACAAAUUAGGAACUGGAUACUAAGUUGAUAAUAUCUCAACUAACUUGGACUUAUUCAACUUUACUACUACUUUAUUCAAUUGGACCGAACAUGACCAUUAACUCAAUAAGCAUAUUAGCUACGCUACCAUGCUAAAUGUUACCAGGCAACUCGUGUUUCUUUAUACUAAAAACAAAUGUUUGUUAUCUUUCAACGCAUUUGGAAAUUGUAACUUUGGCAUGCCAAAAUGUAUAACUGAAUAUUGGUGUAAUGAAAUAGGACUAGCUCUUCACCCGUUCAAUCUUUAAAUAGCUUUCUUCCUCAGAAUGAAAAGGUGGGCAUGCAUGGCUUGUCGUUUAGUUUAAAGAAGGGAAAAGAACUUCUCGAGCUCGACCUCCUAUUAUAUAAAGAUAUUACCUACUGCACUAAUAUUAUAUUUGUGCACAAUUAUGGUAGGCGACAUUGAACCUUACCCAAUUAUAAGGAGCCGUAGGCGUGCUAGCUAACUAGUUUUGGGCUCGAUUUUGAUAUUAGGAUGCUGUGACUUUCUAUUACUUUGGGAAGAAAAGAGAAAUCAAAAAAUAAGAAAAAAAGAGAGAUCAAAAAAUAAAAUUAAUAAUAAGUAAACAUAUUAUACGUUUAUCAUUAUAUAAUUGUGAGACCAAGUCUUUCAACUUUUAAUUCGAGCAGUAAAUGUUCAUCAAACAUUUCAGUACUAGAGUUAUUACCUACUAGUAUUAUCUUGCCAUUUUUACCUUUGUUGUUUACGAAACACUUUACCAAACAUUUUAAUAUCAUAGAUACUACCUACAAAUAUUAAUAGACAGGUGAUUUUCGGGGUUGAGAAAGCCUAAAUUUAUUUUUUAGCCCUUUAACUCUCCCAAGAUUCGAAUUUACUCAUCAUUUUACUAUUAGAGAUUUCACUUACUAAUAUUGAGGGUCCUUGAUGCAAGGUAAUUCGAAGUAUAGUGACUAAGGAUGAUACCUAACUCUUCUGGAAUACUCUGGAUUAAGCUCUCAAUUCUCGUGUAAUUAGAUUGAUUAGACUCGAGAUGUGUCUGCAAAAGAAACUCCAAAGGUCAAGUUAAUAUUUGAAGAUUUUAAAAGUAAAUUUAGAUCUUAAUUCUCUCUUGACUAAAUUCUGAAAUUAGUCAAAAGAUUCUUUCUCGAUCAUUUGGCUAUUAUUUAUAGACUGAGAGAUGACUGGUUGGUUAGAAAAUAUUUUUUAGAUAUGAAUCCUCGUUGUUCUUCUCUUAAUUUGAUUUAGGAUGUUAGAUAUAAUAACCAUUUUUGUCUGUAUUUGAAAUCUCAACAAGUGAUUCUAUUAGUAACCAUGUGCUUUCACUUUAUAAACUUUUCAGGGAUUAUUGUCAUUUGCUUUCUCUGGGCUAUCUGUGUAAAUCAUCCAUCAACCACUAAUCUUAAAUCUGAGUUUGUCUGUAAGUUUCAUCCAAUAUUGACUUGUAAUUUAGGAUUAAUGUGAAUCCGGUUGUAUCGACCUUUAAUUUGGGAUCAAUAUGAAAUGCAUUUGACGUUUAAAUUAACAAGUUUUAAAAAAUACGUGGUGUAACGUAAGUGGUUAUAUUUUUUGGCACUUGUGAAAAUAAUUAGAGAAAUAAUUUUUGAGUGGAUAAAUCCUAUAUUUAGUUUUUAGCCUUUAAUUUCUUUCAAAAUUCAAAUUUGUUAAAUAUUCAAUAUUACAAAUAUCAUAUACUAGUAUAUUUAAACAGAUAAUUUUUAAGUAGACGAACAAAUUUUAAAACUAUUCAAGCCACCUUUUGGGCGUAGACGUGUGAUUUUUUUUCAAUACAUAAAUAAAAAGAGAAAAAAAUCAACUAAGAGUAUUUCCAAAAGACUAUAAAGUUUACUCUUCAAAUAUUUAUUUACUUACCUAUGUGGAAAAUAGAAAAGUGAAAAAAAAUACAUUAUUCUCCAAAAGACUCUUCAAAUAUAAAUGAGUUAAUAUUAUUUUAAUUAAAUAACUAUUUUUUAAAGAAAAAGUCAAUAGUUAUUAAAGUACCUCUCUCUCUUUCUCUAACAAAAAGUAAUAAAAUAUAAAUUGAAGAGGGAGAAAGUAACUCUCUUAAUUUAAAGAGAGAUGAUCAUUUCUUUUUUGAAGAAUCUUAAUUAGAGUGUUUUUUAAAAUUUUAAAUACUAAUGUGGCUCUUCAAAUAAGUAAUAAAAUCUUAUUUGAAGAGUGUUAUGGUGAUGCUUUAAGACAAUUGAGAACCCAUCUUGAAUGGUUCAAUCCCCCACUACUGACAAAAUAAGAAUAUAUUUUUUUAAAGGGAGUAGCUUAUUUCGGAGUUGAUUAAUACACAAGUAGAAUUGUAUAUUUAUUGAAAAGAAAAGAAACAGUUUAAAGAACUUCUAGUCGAAGGAUUUUCCUAUCUUGCAUUUAUUGUAACUUAUAAUUGAUUUUUUUUAAUACAAAAAUCGUAAUAAAAUAGUGAAAUCCGGUGGCCAAAUUUUACGUAGCUGUAACAGGGAGACGGUAAAUGAGAUGUUGAAAUUCAAACCGUCUCACUUACCAAAUGAAGACAACAUGCAUUACUUCAGCGAAACGUGGCAUUCAUGCUGAAAGGGUCACAACGAAGAAUGAUAUUCUCAUAGACCGCUUGAUCUUUACCGUUCAAAUUUCGCGCGGGAAGGAUCCAACGUCUGUAAUGGUCGCCGCUUGGUGUUAUUGUAGAAAAUUCAAUUUUACCCUUGACAGAGGGGCUGCUAUAUUUAGCAUCAAAAACUGACAAAUUAUACACUGCAUCUGCAUGCAGGUCUGGUGGUCUGGUGGAGAGAUGAUGAUACAACGAAUUACGGCAAGUGUUCCGCAUGGAAUACGAAGAAAUUUGCGGUGACUUCACAACGACUUAAAGACACGUGGCUGGAGGUUGUGUUUGUUAGUGUCCUUACUGUCGUAUAGUGAAUAAAAGCAAUUUUAAAAUCUGACGAGCGGGCCACACAAGAUACAGCUUCCUACUACAAAAUACAAAUGACAAAAAGCGCAGUUACGUGACGAGUCAGUGUCUCUCUGUUUGCAUAUAAAAGCUAUGAAAAUCUCAGUUCUUUUGUCACCCAUUGAAAUCAGACUAAGUAAACACAGUGACCAACAAAAUGGUGAUACCUACAGCUGUGGCCGGCGGCGCCGGCGGGACUUUUUGUUCAGUUUGUUCUUCAAAUCUUUUUCCAAAACCUAAAUCCUGCCAAGACGUGGCAAUGGAAACAAUAGAAGAAACAGUUGAAACAGAGAAUAAGAUACCCUUGAUUACGGUCAAAGAAGACGAAGAGGAAGAGAAAGAAGCUUCAACAUAUGAGAACAGCAACGGCGGUGGGCCAUCCUCGUCUUCUUCUUCCAUGCCGACUUUACCCAGAAUCAAAGAAGAAGAAGAAGAAGAAGAAGAAGAAGAAGAAGAAGAGGAAGGCGCCUUUGAUGAUGAACUUGUCGGCGGCGGAUCGUUGCCAAAGCCAAUGGAAGGAUUAAACGAGGUCGGUCCGCCGCCCUUUUUGAGGAAAAUAUACGAGAUGGUGGAGGAUCCGGAAACCGACCCGGUUGUUUCUUGGAGCCUCAAUCGUAACAGCUUUAUCGUUUGGGAAUCUCACGACUUCUCCGAAAAUCUUCUUCCCAAGUAUUUCAAGCACAAGAAUUUCUCCAGCUUCAUUCGCCAGCUCAAUACUUAUGUGAGUAACCACCAACCAACUUUAAUUAUUAUUAUUUUUAUUUUUAUUUUGGAAUGGAGGAGGUAGUAUUUGUGAUUUGGGUUUGGGUUUUGACAGUGCAAAGUUGUGUUAUUAUUUAGGGGUUUAAGAAGAUUCACUCGAAUAGAUGGGAAUUUGCAAACGAAAAGUUUCGAGGAGGGAAGAAACAUUUGCUUAAAAACAUUAAGAGAAGAAGUAGAUUUAACAAGGCACAAGAUGGAACAGUAACUUUAGCUUGUGUUGAUUCUGCCAAAUUCGGAGUGGAGAUGGAGCUUGAGACCCUAAGGAAUGAUCAGAAGACAUUGAGAUUGGAAAUGUUGAAACUUAGACAGCAACAAGAUGAGUCACUGUGUCAAAUGAGUGCAGUUGCAGAACGCAUUCGGUGCGCAGAGUGUAAGCAGCAACAGAUGUUGAAUUUCUUUGCCAAAAUUGCUAAAUACCCUAACUUUGUUCAACAAUUAGUUCACAAGAGAAAGCAACAGAGAGAGCUUCACGGGGAUGAAUUCAAAUUGAGUAAGAAACCAAGAUUGACAGCAACCCAAUUAGAGUCUCAAAGCGUGCCUGAGUCUGUGGACAGCAGCGAAAAUGUCAAUUGUAGAAACCAAGCUCGGGAGCAAUUGGCAACAAUGCAAUCUGAGCUGACUGAUAUGUUGCCGGCAGACAGUACAAAUAUUGACACAACGGAUACUCCGCCGGCGUUCCAAGCUCUUAUGGAUGAUGAUGGCUUGUGUAGAAGUCCUAUUCAGGAUCUUAAGGGGAAUGUGAUGUGUACAUGUGGAAAUGGAACAACAAUUACUGCUCAGGACUCAUCUUCUGUUUAUAACACCUUCUUGGGAAACGUACUUGGGGACAGUUCAAUUACAGAGAAUGGGACCGAUGAUGAUCAAGUCGCUGUGAGCGACAGUCAGCUUUUUCAUGAGCUGGAGGAUUUGAUUGGAAAGUCCCAUAGUUGGGGUGGUUAUGUAAAUGAGCUCGCGGAACAAGUUGAUUGUGAUGGAUCCAUCCUUUGACUCCUUUUUUCUCGGUGGUAUGUUACAUUAAUCCCCUCAUUUUAUCAAGUUGUAUCUAUGUUCUAAGAUUUGUUAGAAUGUGAUUUAAUUUAUGGUGUAGGAAUAGUGAAUAUUAAUUGCUUUCGCAAUUAUUGCAGGGGAGCUGCCGAGCUGAAGAUGAUGUGGUGGUUUUGUAGACUUCACAGAUCAGUUAAAAUAUGCGGGCCCAUGAAUUCCUGUGAAACCAAACCAUUUUGAAAAACCAGUGUUUUGUUCAUAUAUGUGUAUCAAAUUGUACACAUCUAACCUCUUUUCUUUUCUUC